CUGAGUUUUCUUGAUGGCAGAAUGUCCGUAGUUUUGGAAGCCUAUUGAGCUCCAGUCUUCGUAGCUUAGUGAACAAGUAAGUCUGAGGUACCCCUUCGUCUGUUGCGGCUGCUAAUCCAUCUGUAAAGAUUAUUUCUUCCAUGUUCUCGCAAUCGCGAAGGAAAAGUGUAUCGAGCUGCUCAAGAUUUUUGACUAAAAAGGAUGGGAAUAGAUAUUCCAAAUUGUGGCAACCCUUCACAAGUAAGACUUGUAAGUUGAGAACACCAGGGGAUAUAGCCUUGUCUGGUUUAUCAGGCCAUAGUUUUUUGAUGUUAGUUGAUGAUAGUUCCAACUGCCGCAACCUGGCACACAAAACCUGCAGACACAACCCUCAUUGCAUGAAUUAUGCAUGUUUGUGAUGAUAAAUACAUAAACUCAUUAAUGAAUGCUAAAGAAUUUGUUAUUAAUGUGAUUGAUAAACUUCAAGUUCAAGUAAUAGAAACAAAACAAUUUGAAUUAUCAUUAAAAACAAUUAUAUAAUUAAUGGUCAGAAUUUUUUUUUUCUCAAGAUUAAGGAAUUAUCUUAAGGAAUGAAAUUUUUAUUUCACGGCUCAAAGAAUUCUAGAAAUUGACAUGGAGAAUUACACAAAUUUCAAAAGGCUAAUUCUAAAUGUCCCCAUAUUAGGUGAUUUCUAUUAGAACCUUGGCUGUAAAACUUACAAUGCUACAAAAAAUUGUAAGGUGAUAAUUUCAUCAAGGCCGAAGAUGUAGGUUGUUUAACUGAACUGCAUAAAAAAACCUCUAGUCUCCGUUACCAUUUAUGCUUUACUAUUAUUUAUUACAUUUUUGCAUUGUCAUAUUAUACUCUUACAAUAUUAGUUAUAACAUGCAAUUAGAACAGUCUUUAACAUAGGACAUUUCUAGUUUCUCUAUGUAAAAAUUAUGUACUCUAGUUUCUUUUUCUAUUAUCUAAUUUAAAUUUUCACCCAAAUAAAUUAAAAAGUUAAAGCACUAAGCAAAAGAGAAGAGACUAACCUUAUGGUUGAAAAAGGGUGUAAUCUUUUCUCUGCCAACUACCUCUAUAUCCUCUUGCUCCCUUGUAGAUGCCAUUGCAUACAUCUUUGGGCAAUCAUCCACUACAAUUUUAAGCAAAGAUGAACAUUUCAGGGUAAUACUUCCCAUACAAAAACUUGUCAACCUUGAACAUGACUCAAGUCUUAUCCAAUUAAGCAUGGGUAACAAGAGUGUAUCCAUUUCAGUUUCCUCUGCUCCUUUUUUGAUAAUCUGCCUCAUCAUAGGGCAUUGUUUCACUUUUAUGUCUUCUAGCUGCGAAAGAUCUAAAGCCAUGGAAACGCUAAAUAUGUAUGUCAUGGUAUUACACCCAUAAACUUCUAAAACCUUAAGUUUCUUGAAAUCUAUACUUCCAUGAAUGUUCUCCUUCCAUAUUUCAAUUGACCUGGAAAAUUCAGAGAGGACUAAAUACUCGAUAGCUUGGAACCCAGCCUACAAAAUCCAACAAAGAAACAAGGAUUAAAGUUCAUAAAGGUUAUAAUGAAGCCAACCCAAAUCGCAUGAAAGAAAGAAUAACCAAAGCUAAAUUAAAGGAAUAUACAGUAAUACCUUUAUUGAAUACAUUUCUUGGAUAGUGUUAUUAAGGUCACUACACCAAUUUCCAUUACCUUUUCCAUAGUCUACUUUUUGCAAUAAUGGUGGAUUAGUUAAAACUCCCUUACAAAAUAUCUCCAAUUCAAGGCAACCAUUCACUAUUAAUUCCUCUAAACACGGGAAUCCAAAUGUGUGGUUGCCUGAACAAAAGCUCUUAAGUCGCGGUAGAUUCACAAGUUCCAAACUUUUCAACCUGCUGAAAAUAAUGUCACAAGUUGCUUCAUCUCCCUCAGUUGCAACUAUUUCCUUCAUUGAAAUGCAGUCUCUUACCAUCAACUUCUUGAGUUGGGCCAUACCUUGGAAUACUAAACAUGUAUCUAAGUAUUUCAUUGUUUUGCAAUUCGACACAUCCAAUGUGGUGAGAUUUUGAAAUGAUGCUGAGGAUGAUCCUAAGCUGAUCAAAUUGUCACAAUGGUGAACUUCAAGAGUCUCAAGUUUGGGUAGAAUGUGGCCCACUUGUACGUCUUGCUUCCACAAAUAAUCUUUUAGAUCAUAAAGACCUUCCAAUUUUAAGUUUCUAAUUGUUGACAAAGUCCCAGCAUACAUCUCCUCAUUACCGGUAUCUCCUUCGGUACAGAAUAGCUCUUUUAUAUUACAAGAGAUAGUAAGGUUUUCUAGAGUGUAGAAUCUCUCAAGGAAAGAAAUUCGGAAAUCAAUUGGUUCAGCACCGCCGCCACUCACUUCAAAAGUUUUUAUUUCAUGAAAAAGGCUGCUUGAAAAUUGACCAUCACUUAUCAUUGCAAUGUAAUCACUAUCUAAUGUCAAAUGUUGUAGUUUAGGGAAGAUCUGAAAACCAAUCAAAAAACAAUUUAGGAGUCAAUAUAUUCAUCUUUGAAUUAAGAAAGAAAAGUGCAGACAGGAAGAAUAGCUUCUGUUACAUAAAUGAAACACCAUAUACUUUCAAAGAAAUUCUUAAUUAAUAUCAUAUUCUCUACAUCAAUAAAUUAGUUUUCUAAAUAAUAUUUUAAUUUUAAUUAUCAUAAAUUUUUAUGUUAAUUAAUUAAAUAAAAAAAACCAACAAUAAUAGUAAAUUAAGAUUGAUGGUUUAGAGUUUAAUCUAAAAUUUUAGAUUUUAGAGUUCAUGGUUGGAUUUAUAAUUUAUGGAUAAGGGUCGAGAUAUAGAAUUUAAGAAAGUUUCUUUGAUUUGUUAAUUAGAGUAAAAAGAAAGUUACUUUUAAGAAUAAUUUAAUAUUUUGAGUAGGAGUGAGAGGAUUCGUACCUUUUCAACCAAGAAAAGUGGUGGAGGGAUUGAGGAGUCAAGUUGUCCAUUGUUAGUGUUCACUUGUGUACCAAAUAUCUUCAUUUUCCCACAAUCAACUAAUUCCAACUUGUUUAACAUUGGCCACUUUGCAAUAUGUUUACCCGGGUAGAAACAUUUCAAUUUCGGUAGAUUCGAAAGUGCAAGGGUGCAUAGUCGAUCAAACUUGAAAUUGACAGUCGCUUCCCAAUCAGAUCCUUCCCCUAAUUUGGAAACAAUCUCCUCCACUCCACAAAGAAAUAUAUGAAGAUAACCAAGUUGCGGUAGGUCUUGGGCUAUUGAGGCUGGAAAUACAUUCUUCAAACUUGGACAGUCAAAAACAGAUAUUGAACAGAUUUUUUUAAAUGAAAAAAUUACUCUGGGAUCAUUUUUCCAAAUAUAUUUCAACUUUGGUAAUCCUCCAAUAUGCAAUUCUUUGAGUUGAGUGAUUGGAGGUAAAGCGGGUUUUUUUUCUUCAUGCAUGAUUUCAAAUACUUGUUGUAAGGAACCACAAGUCUUUAUGGUUAGACGGUGCAGCCUUUGAAAUGUUGUCACCAUAUUAGAUGGAAAAAUGGUCAACAACUUAUCACAUCUUUCAACUCUCAAUUCUUGAAGUUUGGGAAAUGAAUUUGCUGGAAGUGGGUUCCGCCAUAACAUCUUCAUCUUACUCAAGUAGGAAACACUCAUUUCCUCUAAACUGGGAAAUGCAACCUGCAUUUAUGCCAAUAUAAUGGAAUUAAAAGUUAGUUGUUGGUUUAAUUUAUUGUCAAACAAUGAGAAAAUGAGUAAACCUAAAAAUUAAGAAUUAACCCACCUUAUUGUCAAACAAAUCACCGUGACUAGAGAUUCGUCGGUUCCCUUCGCUUGUAUAUCUACAUAUGAAACCCUCCAAUAUUGGACAGUUGUAUAUCGUCAUUGACUUCAAGAAUGGAAAUUCAAUAACUUUAUUUUGGGAAUUGGAGCAAAAUCCACUCAAAUGCGGAAGGUCCUUUAGCUCUAAGGACUUUAACUGAGGAAAUAAUGAUAAAACCGUAGCAGCCUGACUUUCUUCUUCUAUAAUAUUCUCCGAAAAAAUUAUCUCUCUUAAGAUGUUGCAUGCCGUUAUCUCAAAGUAUUUGAGAUGAACUAGAUAUUUAGCCAUAGAAAAUGAUAAUAGGUAUUUUAUGUUUCCACAACCAUCAAUUUUCAAUGUGGUUAACUUCUCGUGAGUACAAAAAGAUACAUUUGGCAAUUGGUUGUGCCAUAUCCUUGUAACAUUAAGUGAUGACAACCGCAAUUUCUCCAAGGAAGGAAACGAUAUCUACAACCAUACACAAAGUUAAUUCUACUUUCAAAUAAAUAUUGUAAAUAUAUAUAUAUAUAUUUCUAAUGAAAUAUUUACUUUAUAAUUCUAUUUUUGCAAUUACUAAAUACAAUAAAAAAUUAUCCGUUUGAAAUUUCUAAUUGUGAUAUGCUUCCAAUUGCAAAACAUGACACAUAUUUUCUAAAAAUUUAAAAUUUAUUUAUGAGAACUUUUUUUUUCCUUAAAAACAAACAUACUUAUUGAACAUACAAUACAAACAUGCGAAUAACUCAAAAAAACCACAAAUAAAGUCUGCCAACCAAUAAAAAGUGUCAUAGUGUAGAAAAAUUCUAGUAAAUAUAAAAUAUGAUCAGAAAAACGAAAAAAAAAAAACACCACCACAAGAGCAAUAUUGCAUGAUUCAGAAAAGGAAAGAAAGCCCCGAAAGAAAAACUAGAAAUAUAUUGAACUAUACAUACCUUUUCUCCGAAAAGUGGCAAUUCACGUUGAGGCAAUGAGGUACCAUCGAUUUUGUCUUGAGAGCAAAAGCUUACGAGUUGAGGAAGACCCUCCAAUGUCAAGGACUGCAAUUAUGGAAAUUGAUUUCUAUCAUUAAUUAUAGAUUCAAUAUCCAAACCAUUUUGGAUGUGCAGAUUCUGCAAAUGUAAUAGCCUUUCCUCAUCUGUUAACUCCUCCAGUGCAAUCUUCACACCUUUCAGUUCAUCCAAUUGUAAAUCUUGAGUUCUCUUUGCCAACUUCUUAAUUCCAUGAUCCAAAUCAUCAAUGCUUGUGUUUAGCCUGAGUUUUAAGGUUCUUGAAUAUUGAUAGUUGCCAAACCGCUCCCAUUCCUUUCCUAUGCAAAUCUUGUAUCUUUCCAACUUUUGCAACUUUUGAAAGAAGUCCUCUGGGGCAGCCUUGGCGUUCGGAAUUUGAACUUCUAAAGUGGACAAAUGAGACAAUGUGUUCAGUUCAGCAAGACUAGCAUUGGGUUGUCCCCAUUGAAUAGAAGUGCCACCCAUAUAUAAUUCUUCUAAUUUUGGCAAACUUGGCAACACGUCAGCUGAAAUUGUUUUGAGUUUAGUACAACCACUUACAUCUAACAACUUUAGCUUCAACAAGUGCCCAAUUUCCUUGGGUACAAUUUUGAUAUCAGACCCAGCAAGGCUAAGCACAUUUAAGCUCUUGAGUGCUCCAAUAAUGGUUAGGUUAUCACCCAAAUUGCAGUGAUCUAGGCACAAUGUACUGAGGCUAGUUAAGAGACCAAUUGAUGAAGGUAAAGGAGAAAAAUGCAUGCAAGUCAAACCUAAGACUUUAAGAUUUUUUGCUUCCUUGAAGAAGUUAUCCGGCAACGUCAAGGAGAGAUCCUUGCUUGACAAAAGGAAAAGAAAAAGCUGCGGACUAUUCAACUGGUCAGGAAGCUCGUUGAUACUAGGAUCCCGCAAAAUAACCUUGUUGCACUCUAUUAGAAUAUACCCAUACCCCAUACCUUGCCCAUACCUUUCCCAUACCUACCCAUACUUUGGAAAGGUCAAAGUUAUGGGCACCAAAUAUUUUAUUUAGUGUUGGGCAUGGGAAAAUAGCAAUUUUUGGUCCCUAAGUGAAUAGUGACUUUGCAAGGUGGCCCUUGAAUCUCAACUAUAAAUAGGCCAACCAUUGCUCAUUCUCAUCAUCCCACAUUUGCCAUUCUCUACUUAAGGCAUUGUUCUCUCUCCCUAUUUGUAAAGUUUCACUUGUAUUUUUGGAGUGAAAUAUAUUUGGUAGUGCCCGAGGACGUAGGCAAGAUUUGCCGAACCUCGUUAAAAUUCUGGUGUUCUUUACUAUUUAUUGUUCAUAUUUUGUGAGUGUGAUUGUAGUGAUUUAUUGUGCUAUUAAAUUACGAUAGAGGGAUAUUCUGGCUAGGAAAGACUUGGUACUUAAGUGAUCCUCGUGAUUCACCUCUCUUUCCUGGGAAUUGAACUUAGUGUGAUUUUUUAGUACAAUAAUUUUACUCUUUCACACGCUUCCGCGCAACAAUUGGUAUCAGAGCCAGGUUCGUACUUGGAGAAUACGACCGUUUACGGUACUAUUCACGUAUACGGCACUAUUCACGUAUACGGUACUGUUCACGUAUACAGUAGUUGGGAUUGAGAAAUGGCAGCAGCAUCGUCAUCAGCAAGGACUACUGUGACAAAUGCAAAAUUUGAAGUAGAGAAAUUUGACGGUACCAAUAAUUUUGGUAUGUGGCAAUGUGAGAUCCUGGAUGUCUUAUGUCAGCAAGAGCUAGAUAUAGCCCUUGAAGAAAAACCUGACAAGAUGGAUGACAAGGAGUGGGCCAAGAUCAAUAGACAGGCGUGUGGUACAAUCCGCCUAUGUUUGGCCAAAGAGCAGAAGUAUUCUGUCAUGAGGGAGACAUCAGCGAAGAAGUUAUGGGAUACACUGGAAGAAAAGUUUCUAACGAAAAGUCUUGAAAAUAGGCUUUAUAUGAAAAAGAAACUUUAUCGAUUCACGUAUGCACCCGGUAUGUCGAUGAAUGACCAUGUGAACUCAUUCAAUAAAAUUUUAGCAGACUUGCUAAAUUUGGAUGAGAAAUUUGAAGAUGAAGACAAGGCAUUAUUAUUGUUGAAUUCCCUUCCUGAUGAAUAUGAUCAUCUUACCACCACAUUGCUUCAUGGGAAGGACACGAUCACAUUUGAUGCAGUCUGUAGUGCGUUGUAUAGAUCUGAGACUCGAAAGAAAGAUAAAAGAGAUCACAGAGAUACAACCGCAGAAGUCUUAACAGUAAGAGGUCGUUCACACAGCAGCAAACCUGGUAGAAGGGGUAAGUCCAAAGGGAGACCCGCCAAAGAUGAAUGUGCCUUUUGUCGUGAGAAAGGGCAUUGGAAAAAGAAUUGUCCUAAGUUACAAAAGGGCAAGUCUAUUUCUAAUGCAUGUGUAGCGGAGCAUGAUGAGGAGUCAGACUUUAGCUUGGUUGGCAUGGCAAUGGCAUGUCAAACGGAUGAGUGGAUAUUGGAUUCGGGAUGUACUUACCAUAUGUGUCCUAAUAAGGACUGGUUUUCUAGUCUUGAAGAACUAGAAGGUGGAGUUGUUUUUAUGGGCAAUGAUAGUGCCUGUAAGACAAUGGGUGUAGGUACAAUCAAAUUGAAGAACCAUGACGGCUCAAUCCAAGUUCUGACAGAUGUUCGCUAUGUACCCAGCUUGAAGAAAAAUCUCAUCUCAUUAGGGGCCCUAGAAUCUAAAGGGUUCACAAUCACUUUGAGAGAUGGAUUACUAAAGGUAGUAGCUGGGGUAUUGACGGUGAUGAAAGGCACUAGAAGAAAUAACUUGUACUAUUUAAAUGGAAGUACAGUUAUUGGAUCAACAUCAACAGCUUCUGCGAAAGAUGCAGAUUCAGAGGCUACCAGGUUAUGGCAUAGGCGAUUGGGACAUGCUGGUGAAAAAGCUUUGCAGACUUUGGCGAAGCAAGGCUUGUUGAAAGGUGCAAAUUCUUGCAAAUUGGAAUUCUGUGAACAUUGUGUUCUGGGCAAGCAGAAGAGGGUAAAAUUUGGUCCAGCAAUUCAGAAUACGAAAGGAAUUCUGGACUACGUUCACAGUGAUGUGUGGGGACCUACCAAAGUGGCUUCUUUGGGAGGUAUGCACUAUUUUGUCACUUUUCUUGAUGAUUAUUCAAGAAAAGUAUGGGUGUAUCUAAUGAAAAGAAAAAAUGAAGUUUUGGAUGCAUUUCUGAAGUGGAAGAAGAUGGUGGAGACUCAGACAGGUCGAAAGGUCAAACGACUUCGAUCAGAUAAUGGUACUGAGUACAAAAAUGAUCCAUUUCUACAAGUAUGUCAAGAUGAGGGCAUUGUGCGACACUUCACUGUUCGAGAUACACCACAGCAGAAUGGGGUGGCAGAACGCAUGAAUCGGACUAUACUGGAGAAAGUUCGAUGUAUGUUGUCCAAUGCUGGAUUGGGCAAGGAAUUUUGGGCUGAGGCAGUUACAUAUGCGUGCCAUCUAAUUAACCGAUUGCCAUCAGCUGCAAUAAAUGGAAAAACUCCGAUGGAGAUGUGGACUGGUAAACCUGCUACUGAUUAUGAUUCUUUACAUGUUUUUGGUUCCACUGCAUAUUAUCAUGUAAAAGAAUCUAAGUUAGACCCAAGAGCAAAGAAAGCAUUAUUCAUGGGUAUAACUGGUGGUGUAAAAGGAUACCGUCUCUGGUGUCUUGAUACAAGGAAGAUUGUUUUCAGUAGAGAUGUAACUUUUGAUGAAUCAACCAUGAUGAAGAACGAGGAUUCACAAAAGGAUGACAAAACCAGUAGUACUUUGCAGCAGGUGGAGUUUGAAAAGGUUAAUGAUGAUCCAGCUAAUAUUGAAAGAACAAAUGAUGAAGAAGUUUCGACCCAAGAACUUCUACAGCAACAAGAUUCAAUUGCAUAUAGGAGGCCAAGAAGAGAGAUUCGUAAGCCUGCUCGCUUUGACGAUAUGGUGGCCUAUGCACUUCCAAUUGCAGAUGAUGAUGUUCCUUCCACUUACACAGAAGCAAUAAGUAACUCUGAUGGUGUAAAGUGGAAGCAAGCUAUGAAUGAAGAAAUGCAGUCUCUUCAUAAAAAUAGGACUUGGGAGUUGGUGAGACUGCCCAAGGGAAAGAAGGCAAUUGGAUGCAAAUGGGUAUAUGCAAAGAAGGAACGAUUUCCUGGUAAAAAUGAAAUUCGAUACAAGGCUAGAUUGGUAGCAAAGGGUUACGCUCAGAAAGAAGGAAUAGACUACAAUGAAGUGUUUUCUCCAGUUGUGAAGCAUUCGUCUAUUCGGAUUUUGCUAGCCUUGGUUGCGCAAUAUGAUCUUGAACUAGUUCAGCUUGAUGUGAAGACCGCGUUUUUACACGGUGAUUUGGAAGAGGAAAUCUAUAUGACUCAGCCAGAUGGAUUCAAGGUUGCUGGAAAAGAAAAUUGGAUUUGCAAACUGACAAAGUCGCUUUAUGGAUUGAAGCAAUCUCCGAGGCAGUGGUACAAGCGAUUUGAUCAGUUCAUGAAAGGGCAAAGGUACACAAGAAGUAAAUUUGAUCAUUGCGUGUAUUUUCAGAAGCUACAAGAAGGAACUUUCAUAUACUUGCUCUUAUAUGUUGAUGAUAUGCUAAUAGCAUCUAAGAGCAAAGUUGAGAUUGAAAGAUUGAAGACUCAACUCAAUCUCGAGUUUGAGAUGAAAGAUCUAGGAGAAGCUAAAAAGAUUCUCGGCAUGGAAAUAUGUAGAGAUAGAGCUCAUGGCAGAGUUAGCUUGUCUCAGAAGCAGUAUUUGAAGAAAGUACUACAGCAGUUUGGUAUGAACGAGCAGACCAAACCUGUAAGUACCUCGUUGGCUUCUCAUUUCAAGCUUUCUGCACAACUAUCUCCUUCGACGAAUACGGAACAAGAAUACAUGUUGCAAGUUCCGUAUUCUAAUGCAGUGGGUAGCUUGAUGUAUGCAAUGGUGUGUACAAGACCCGACAUUUCACAGGCAAUUAGUAUAGUGAGCAGGUAUAUGCAUAAUCCUGGAAAAGGACAUUGGCAAGCUGUGAAAUGGAUUCUACGGUAUAUUCAGAAGACCGUGGAUGUUGGAUUACUGUUCAAGCAGGAUAAUACACUUGGUAAAGGUGUUAUUGGGUACGUUGAUUCUGACUAUGCCGGUGAUUUGGACAAGCGAAGAUCAACCACCGGUUAUGUGUUUACACUUGCUGGAGGACCAAUAAGUUGGAAGUCUACACUACAGUCUACAGUUGCAUUGUCAACCACAGAAGCCGAGUACAUGGCUGUAACAGAGGCUGUAAAGGAGGCUGUUUGGUUACAAGGUAUGGCUAAAACCUUGGGGUUGGUUCAGGAGCAUAUUAACGUGUAUUGUGAUAGUCAAAGUGCUAUUCAUUUAGCAAAGAAUCAAGUCUAUCAUGCACGUACAAAACAUAUCGACGUACGAUUCCAUUUUGUGCGGGAAAUUAUUGAAGAGGGGAAAAUUUGUCUUCAGAAGAUCAAGACUGCAGAUAAUCCCGCAGAUAUGAUGACCAAGGUGGUAACAGCAACCAAGUUCGAACAUUGUUUGAACUUGAUUAAUAUCCUGCAAGUUUAACAGUUGAAGAAGGCACUAUCAAGUAUUGUUGUCAAAAGCAGAAAGAAUUGUGUGAAGAUAAGAUUAUCCUAAUCAAAUCUUCAAGGUGGAGAUUAUUAGAAUAUACCCAUACCCCAUACCUUGCCCAUACCUUUCCCAUACCUACCCAUACUUUGGAAAGGUCAAAGUUAUGGGCACCAAAUAUUUUAUUUAGUGUUGGGCAUGGGAAAAUAGCAAUUUUUGGUCCCUAAGUGAAUAGUGACUUUGCAAGGUGGCCCUUGAAUCUCAACUAUAAAUAGGCCAACCAUUGCUCAUUCUCAUCAUCCCACAUUUGCCAUUCUCUACUUAAGGCAUUGUUCUCUCUCCCUAUUUGUAAAGUUUCACUUGUAUUUUUGGAGUGAAAUAUAUUUGGUAGUGCCCGAGGACGUAGGCAAGAUUUGCCGAACCUCGUUAAAAUUCUGGUGUUCUUUACUAUUUAUUGUUCAUAUUUUGUGAGUGUGAUUGUAGUGAUUUAUUGUGCUAUUAAAUUACGAUAGAGGGAUAUUCUGGCUAGGAAAGACUUGGUACUUAAGUGAUCCUCGUGAUUCACCUCUCUUUCCUGGGAAUUGAACUUAGUGUGAUUUUUUAGUACAAUAAUUUUACUCUUUCACACGCUUCCGCGCAACACACUCUUUCAUUGACUCUCCAGUUCGCCAAUCUGUUACAACAUCCUCAUCCUCGUCCUUAUCCUCCUCUGUUAAAGCAAGCACUUGAUUGUCCUUUGAAGCGAUUGAUUUGGCCACAAUAUAAGUAAGAUCAUGCACAUCAAAGUACUCCUUAUUGGAACUUUGGCUAUCAAGCAACAAACAAGAUUCUUUGAGGGUACUCAGCAUUUUUAACAGCCUAUCUCGUGCUGCUUUCAUGCUGUUGGCUCCGUUAAUUAGACCCAAAGCAAGAGCAUAUCUCAACAAGUCUUCAAUCCUAGUGUCACGACGCAGUAAACUGCAAAGUAGGAAAAUCUGCUUGAGGUCUUCACUAGAUAAAUGAUCGAUACUGUACUUGAUAGCCUUAUAUACCUCAGCAGAUAUAUCAUCCGAGCUUUUUUCUAAGCAAGGCCUCUGUAAUUGUUGUAAAGCAUCCCUCCAAAAAAAUAAAGGCUUAUUUCGCAACGCCCUUGCAACAGUUGCAAGGGCGAGUGGUAAUCUUGCACAUUUUUUGGCUACCUCAAUUGCUGUAGAUCGCAGCUCCUCAUCACUUUCAACAAUGUCCCCGGCCAUCUUCUUAAAGAACUCCCAAGCUUCUUCGCCAUCUAAAUCACCAAUUGCAAAGGUCUUUGUAGCAUCCUUCCCGUUGUUUAGAACAUUUUGAUAUCUUGAGGUCAACAGUAUUUUGCAUCCUUUGUAUUGACUUCCAAAUGGAAUUCCGACUUCCUCUAGAUCCAGUUUCUUCCAAAGAUCAUCCAAAAUAAUAAGAACAUUUUUCUCAUUCUUUAACCUUUCAUACAAUUUACGGGCUCUUACAUACGGACUGUUUUCUUCAAGCUCCAAGCGCAAUGAGUACGCUAUUUGAUUUUGGAUUUCCUUAAUGUCAGCAUUUUGACGUACAGUGACCGUAACUACUGAAUCGAAUAACUUAACCUCACAGAGUUGUCUCUCAACUUCGUUGACCAGCCAUGAUUUGCCCACACCAGCCAUCCCGUACACUCCAAUCAUGCUUGUUGUUGCAUCUUUCAGUAACUCCAUGAUAUCAUGGAAAACCUCCUCUCUUGAUUGAAAGGUCUCAAAGUCUGUAUGGAUUAUGGGUUCAGCAACAUAAGGGCAUCCCACGCGCUCAAAACGGCCAUCGUCGAUAAGCUUUUUAAAAUUGGCAGCAUCUUCUUCUGCUUUCUUGCUAAGCUGGUAGCGAGACUUGAUGUUGGGACACAAGCCAAAGAAGCACUUGGUCUUUGCUUUGACUUCAAGAUCGUUCACUUUCUUCGCCUCUUCAGUGAAGAUCUCAUCCACUUUGUGGCGCCAUUCCUGGACAUUGGUUUUAAUAUUCUCCAAGUUCGCUAGUGCAAAAGCAACAUCCUCCUGCACACUUGUUCUUUCUAUAUUCAACUUCUUUUUUUCCUUCUCGAACUCGGCAACAAAUUUCUGGUAGAAGAUUACAUAUCUAAUAUGACGUAUAGCUUUGCGGAAGAUACCUUUCGCAGCAGCGGUUGUGACCUCGUGAGCAGCACCAGUAAAUAUUGUAUCCAUUUUUUUUUUUUGGCUUUGGGGUUAGAGAUGACAGUCAGAAAGAGUAAGAAACAAAAUAGAAAAACGAAAGAAGGAAGCAAGAAGAAAAAAAAAUGAUGUGAAGAAGCCAAUAGCCGAUAAAUGGAAAUGCUGAAAGAAAACAGAGAAUGGAUGUGGGUAUUGUCUAGGGUAAGUGUUGGAUCGUAUAAAUAUGUUUUGAAGUUUGAACCUUAUUUUGUUUUUGGCUUCUCCUAUAUCUAAUACCUUGUUAAACAACUGAGGAGGUUGGCCACUUGUUCAAUAACAAAUCAUUUGUAUCAUGAUAAUUGAUAUGGUAUUGUUUCGGUUCUACUCUAAACUGGUACGGAAUAGUUUAUAUUUAAGGGAAUUUGAGUAGAAGUAGUAUUAGAUUUGUAUUAAGGAUGAUAUAAAUAAUUGAGGAGGUUGACCAUGCGGGUCUCAGGGAAUACCAUGUGACGGAAAACCAUUUGUAUUAUCAUAAUCGAUAUCGUAUUCUUCGGGUCAAAACUUUAGUGUGUUUGAGCUUAUUUUAGUUAAUAUUGGUGUACUUGUAUUAAAUUAUAAAGUCAAAAGUUAAAGUUGAAAUAUAUUUUAUACACUUGUUUGACAUUUAGUUUUUCUAUUCUUACAAUUAGGAAUUUAAAAAUGUAGAUCUAGUUGUUAGUUCCAUUAAAAUUCUUCUAUUAAAUUAUAUAGUAACAUUUAUAAAUUAAAAAUAUUUACUUAUUAGUUAUUUUACAAUAAAAAAUAUUAUAAAUAUUGAUUAAGGUUUUCCUAAAAAACACAUAUUCAACUUCAUGAUAAAAAAAAUUUGUUUGAAUAAUGUUUUUAGUAAAAAUUGACAUCAAUGUUUCGAUUGACAUAGUUAACAAUAUUAAUUAUUUAGACUAAUAACAUGAUAACGUGAAAUGACCAAACUAUGUUAAAAACUAAAAUGAAUAUGUGACACUCCAUAUCCGACUCAACCAUCUAGUCCGAUUCAUCUAACCACUUGUACUGAUACAAAUUUACUAAGAUCCGAAAAUUAACCCAAAACACAUCUAAUUUAGCUCAAAAGAAUACCCUUUCAAUUCUAAGUAUUAUGAAACACAAAAUACUUGUUUCAAACCUCAUAUUUUCCUAUUUAAACACAUCAAACACAUGGUUAUUAUCAUGGUCACAAUAGUUCCAAUUUCAAAUAUCAAUUUCACCUAUAAAGAAUGAAUGCAACCAACGAAACAGUGCAAAAUCAUUAACUUAAGAUCAUGCAUCUCAACAUAAUCACAUAUUAAUCAUAUCAUCACAUUGUUUCUAUGCUUAUAGAAUAUUCUUAUAUUACAGAUUUCAAGCAUAGAAAAUGAUAAGUACUAAAAGUAAUAUGUUUUAAUCAUAUUAUUAAUGCGAUUUUAGGUGAUUAUUCGAUGUUAAAGGUGAAUUUUAUGUUCCUAAUUCUCUAAAAUCAUAUUUUGAUACUUAAUAGAACAUUUGGGAGGAAAACAACGAAAAUAAAAAAAAACAGAACAAGUUACAAGUGCCACAUGGGCAAAAGAAAUUUUCUUUAGAGUCUCUAAAUUGAUGAACAUAUUCUCUACCAUCUCCGCUUCAUCUUUUCUUUUUGAUGUCUAAAGAAAUUUUUUAAAAAAUGAUGAAAAUAUGAAUUUUUGGCAAAAUACUAAAUUUUCUAAAAUUUAAAGUUUUACCUCUACCCCAUGAACGUGACAAGAAUCACUUAUAUAGAAGACAAAGAAGUUUCUUCAUUUUCUUAUAAAAAUAUCUCAUUAUUUUUUUAUUGAAUAAAACAUUAAAAUAUCUUAUAAUAAAAUAUUAAUUAAAUAACAAACCAAUCAAUUUUUAACACUUUCCACGUUUAAUCAUUACACCAUAUAAUUAUCUAAUUUUUGUAAUGAUCAUUUUACCUCUCAUGUUUUUUCAAAUUUCAUCCUUAAUCACAACUUACUUUUAGAAAAAUUGUGACUUACUCCCUCACAUUUAUUCUCUUAUUUAAUUUGGUUCCUACUUACCAAUCUCCCAUCACAAGAAAUUGGUUCACUUUUGGUCCUUCAAUUUUUCUUGUUUUUACACUUCAACCAUUUGAAUUCUAAAUAAUUAUACUAGUUUCUCAAAACUUUUCACAUCUUUACAAUCUAAUUCUUGCCGUAAAUUAACAUAUUACAUCAUACCUCUUAAUUCAAAAUUGUCCUUGGCAUCAGUCAACCUUUUUCUUUUCUUUUCUUUUCUUUAUAAUAUAUCGAUUUUAAGGGUGUUAUGUUCUAAAAAAAGGGAUUAUAUUAAAAACUAUAAGUAAUAAUUGUAAAAGUAAAUGUAUGCACAAUGUUAUUUAUUAAAAAAUUAUUCAUUAUUUGAAAAAUUAAAUUACAGUAAUUUAUUACUUGCGCAUAUAUGUAUUAAAUGGAAAAAGGAACUUAGCCUAAACUAAAAUUGUCAAUGUAUUCAUGUGUAUUUUAAUUUGUUGACAUAUAAAAACUUUUUCUUUUAAAAAAUAUUUAAAAUUUAUUUAAUUUAUAUAUAUUGUUUAACUUUUUUAAUAUUAUUUUUAAAAUAUUUCAGGAAUGGUUGGGAAAAUGAUAAAAAUGUUUGAACAAGAGAAUGUUAUUGUUUCAAAAUCCAAAUCAGACUUUGAAACAUCAAUGGUUAUAUACAUAUUGUAAGAGGCCUAAUUUUGUUCGGGCCCUAAACCGAAACCAAAAAUAAAAAUAAAAAUUAACAGUCUCAAAGCUCAAUUACAUGUCAAGCUUAAAACAAAAACCUUAACUCAAAGUUACAAGCCCAAUGGCUCAAAACACUUAAAAAAUUUUAGAAAACAAAAAAACCCUAGGUCCUUUUGCGCCGCUUAUCCCUUAGCACGUGCACCGCCCAUUCUGCCACCGUUUCACCAAAAUAGCCAAAGGUCUGCCUCCCUGUCGCCGUUAACCGUAUUAGUACCUGCAAGAAAAGAGAAAGAAAAAGGACCAUGGAAGCAAAAAAAAAAAAAGCAAAGAACAGUGGCUAAAUAGUUGCAAAAAUAGUAAAAUAUAACAUGUAAAUUGGCUAUAAAAGCCGCAACAAUCCAUGUAAUUUAGGGUAGAAAAACGAGCAAUCGAAACAAAGGAGAAAGAAAAAUUCUAAAAAGGUGGUCUUUUUUAGAAAAAUUCUAAAAAGGUGGUUUUUUUUUCUUACACUAUUUUAUAUUUUUUGUAAAUAAACAUAAAAUAAAAAAUGAGUUGAAAACUUACUGUGCUCUUCACAUUUUGCCAUAGUGAGUGUCCGAGGACCGUCAUCUCUAAUGAAAGAUGACAUCUUUCGGUCUCGGGGAAUCAAACGGCACAAAAAGCAGCAAUUUUUGCACUUUUCGGCCACCGUGGAUGGCGGAGCUGUCGCCGGCGACCGGUUGCCGCCACGGCGGCCCAAUGGCCAGCCUGAGAAGGCUAAUGAGAGAAAAUAGAAAGGGGUUUUCUAGUUUUUUUUUUUUGAAAAGGUGUUUGAAAUGAUAUUUUUUGAAAACUUUUUGGUAUUUAUAGGGACUUACACAACAUCAUUUUGGGCUCGACCCUUAGAUUCCCAAAACAACGUCGUUUUGAAUUACAACCUGAAUUCGGCUCGACCUUUUAAUAGGAUCCACGUGCUUUUAAAAAAUUACAUAAUUGCACCUUUGGUCCUUCCGCUUUUGCGGCUUGUUUGAAUCUAGUCAUGUCUUUUUUUUUUGCCACUUGAUUCUACUUUACUUUCAUUUUGGUCCUCGGACCAUUUCAAGGGAUGGGUACAUGAAAUGGCGUCGUUUCAGUCUACCCAAUAUCCGACCCGAACCACCCUAGGAUCCGCGUGUUUUUUCUUGGGGGAUAUUUGCGUUUUCAGUUCUUCUGCCUUUUAAGUUAUUUUUAAUUAGGUCCUAAUUCCAUUUAUUAUUAUUUUUAAAAAUUAUACCAUUUACUUUCAAACCUUUUCAAAUUUGGUCCUCAGAUCGUUGACCCCUCGGGGAAGGACGCACGUCUAGGAGUUUUGGGAUAUUUUCCCAUUUAGCCCCGUUAUCUUUAGUGUGUUAUGUUUUAGUCCUUUUUAGUUUUUUGUUUAUUUGUAAUUUAUAUUCCUUAAUUUCAUUCUGAUUUCAAAUUGAUCCUUGAUUCAUUUAACUUCAAUUUUUAAAAAAAUUUGUUUUAUUUACUAUUUAUUUAUUAUUUCUUUAAUCUUUUUUAAUAAUUAAAUUUCAUUUAUUUAUAUUCCUUUUAUGUAAUUUUAUAUUUAAUUAUCAUUGUUAUUAUUCUUAUUAUUAUUAUCAUUAUUAUUUAUUUUUCCUUUAUUAUUUAAUUAGUAUUAGAAUAGUAAAUAAGGUGCUUAUCGCCAUGCUAUUAUUAAUGCAAUUUUAUUGUCAUUAUCUCUUUUAGUUUUUUGUGUGUUCUUGUUAUUUUUUUAUUUUUUUAUUGCUUUUAUAUUCUGGCACUUUCAUGUCUACUAUUUGUUAAUCAUUCAUUUUUAUUUUUUACCUUAUUUAUUUUGUUAUUCUUAUGAUUUGAUUAUUAAUGUUAUUAUUGUUAAUUACAUUAGUAGUACUAUAGUAUUCCUCAUUUACUUAUUAUAUAUUAUUUUAAUGUUCUACUUAUAUAGCCACUUAACAUUAUUUCAUUAUCACUAUCUCAUACAUUAUGUUUAAAUAAUUACUCGUUUUUGUACUGUGCCCAACAAGUUAAAUGUACAUUACCUUAAACGUUAUGUUCAUCAUCGUACGAUGCAUAAAAUUUUUUAAAUCAAGGUAGUAUCCAUUAUUUUAGAAUUAGAAAAGUCGUGUUCCUAACUUAUGGAAUAUAGCUUCUUUCUAAAACCGAGAUAGUCAAAUAUUUACUUUAAAAUAAAUAAAAAAUGAUAUUUAAGUAACGAUCAAUUGGUGUUUAUUCUCGUUUUCGAGGAAUUAAAACAUUGUGUCCUAACUUACAGGACACGAUCCUUUUUCUCAAUUAACCUGAAAUAAGCCCUUUUCGUAAAAAUUACUUUAAGUAAGUUAGUGCCUUAAUACAGAAAAAAAAAGAUCGUGUUUUAAACUCUUUUUAAAUUUUCAAUUCACGACACUAAGACAUUAAUUAAUCAACUAGGUAUCAAUUUUGGUCGUUAUGAGGGUGCUAAUCCUUUCUCGUGCAUAAUCGACUCCUAAACCAGUUUCUUAAAUUUUGUAGACCAAAAAUUAUUGUUUUAGUAAAUCAAACCGUUUAUUAAAAUGAUCAAAUUACGAGGUGAUCCGAUCACGCCUCAUAAAAAAGGAUUAGUGGUGACUCACAUUUUCGUUUUUAAAUAAAAAGUCGAUUUCAAAAAGGUUUCGACAGCUUGGCGACUCCACUGGGGACAAAAUAAGAGAGUCAAGCCGAGAGUUGAUUACUUUUGGUCUUUUUGUCAAAAAUUGAUAAUUUGGUUUAAAUUUACGAUCCCUUCGUUGCAUGUCAUCCUUCAUUUUUGUGGUCUUCAUCAUUUUGUUGCAUAAUGAUAUGUUUGUUUUAUUGGUUUGAGUGUCUUGGUAUAUUUUUGUAUAUUGCAUUUCAUAAUCAUUUGAUUUUGCCCUUCUUAAGUAGGAGUGAGAAGUUAUUCCUUCGUGUGGUCUUCACCUCCAUAUAGGAUAGUGGAUCGCUUUCGGGAUACAUCCGUACCUACGUCUUCGUGAGAUUUUCAUCUCCGUAUAGCUAUAGGGAAAUGUAUUCCCUUGAACUGAACUCGGUCCGUAUGACCCUAUAAUGGGUGAGGAUCGAGGAAUCUUUUUGUUCAAGUACCCUUACUUUAGAACUGAACUGCAUAAUGAGUCCUAAGAGCCUACCCUAGGUAGAACCAUACCAAACCUCUAGUGGUCACCCGAUUAGGUGUUUUAUUUAUUUUUUGCUUUGAAUUCUAGAUUUGUAUGAAAUCUACUAACUUGUUUUGUUUUGGCUGUGAUUGCAUUGCAUUUUCAUCAUAGAAAAGGGUGUUGGUUCACAUUCAGUUACUAAAUAGAGAGCUUUCAUGGAAAAUAGAUUUCUUGAUAAAGUGAAAGACAAUGUGGCCAUCCUGACAUGGUCUGAAAAGACACAACAAGAGAAGGGUGAUAGUAUAAUGGAGGGAUAUAUGUCAGAAUUGUGGGAUCUCACUCGCAUCAGUGUGACUCAGAAUAAUCUCCAAGAGGUGAAAAAAAUAUGGGACCAAUGGGAAGACGAAACCAAGUAGUUAUUAUACUGUAACUAUAGUGAUUUGCCUUAUCUACUUGAUGUCAAAGUGGACAAGGACUUAUUCUGAGCUCUCACCCAGUAUUGGAAUCCCACCUAUAGCUGUUUACUUUUGAGAAGGUAGAUUCGAUGCCCACUGUAGAAGAGUACACAACUCUGCUCUAUUUCCCGAUGAUCCAAGCCGACAAAGCUUAUUCUUGAGCCGCCAACAUCUCGACUUUCUUGAAGAGGCUAAUGAGCAUAACGGGAAUGAGUGAGUAAUGGGUUACGGCCAGGAUUAAACAAAAGAGAGAUAGUAAAUGUAUCCCUUGAAAAAGUUUGUGGGAUUUGAUCUUGACACAUCCGGAUAUGAAGAAAAGAUUCGAUGUCUUCGCCUUGAGUAUUUACAAGUUGGUCAUCUUUCCCAAAGCAUUAAGGCAUAUAGAUGAGGCAGUUUCAGCUUUAUUUGACCGACUUGACAAAAGGGUCACACUCGUCUCGACAAUUUUGGCUGAAACUUUUAGAUCUUUGAAUGCAUGCCGAAUAUGAUUGGUGAUGGGGUAAAAAAGUCAAAGGCAACGUCCCUGCAUCAAGUCAAGGAAACACUCGGCCAAUAGAAGAACACCUACAAGUGAUCCCGUCUGAGCUAGAUAUUAUAAAGUAAGAUUUUGAAAAGUAGAAUUCGAAGCUAGAGAAAAAGAUAGAAUAGUUGGAAAAGGAAAAGAUGCAGCUAGGAUUAGACGUUGACGUCUAGAAGUUAGAAACCAAGAAAAUGAGAAAAAAAAAAAGAACAAGGCCGAGGAAAAUUUGGACAGUAUAAAAACAAAUUAUAAGAAGCUGCAUUUGUCAAUAAGGACUGCUGUGUUGGGAAAAACAUCGAAGUAAUGGCAGCAAUAGAUCAAAGAAGAAAAGAUUAAGGUUGAUCAGUGGGAAAAGAAAUUCCAAGAUGCUUGAGUUCGAGGAGAUGCUCUAGAAAAGGAUUUGUUAGAAAACUGAAAUAAAAAGGUUGGAUUGAGAGCCAGCGUAGCAGAAUUAGAAAGGUCGCUGCAUCAAUAUCUUAGUCGUAAUUCCUUAAUUGAGUUGAAAGUAAGGCUAAAUAAGAUUGAAAAGUUGAAGGGAAAGAUAGAAGACCUCAAAACCGUACUACAAAAUUGUGAACUCCGAGUUGAGCUUCUUGAAAUGAACAAUGAACACUGGAAAGUGCAACUCCAACGCUCUCAAGAUAGAUGAUAUUUUAAGCAUACGUUGAUGAUUCCUAAUUAUUCACUAAGUUCGUAAUGAAUUCACCCACUCCUCUCUUACUUCAUAGGUAAGUAGGUUGCGGAUGACAAUGGCAAGGUAGAUGACUUGGCAAGACUCAUCCCUGAAUAGAUAUUGACGAAUUUAGGAAAAAGGUGAUGGAGUUUUAUUUAUGUGGAUUUAGAUUUAUUAUAAUUUGACUCAGUUAUUGAAAUAAUAUCUUUUAAGUUUAAAGUUCAAUUUUUGUUUUGCGAACCGUUAAGUUAAACCUUGUUACUAAUUUCUUCUCAGCAUGAUUAAGUUUCAUGUUUCAUUAUAUUUCCAUGCAUGCGUACCAUGUUGUAUUCUUUCAAUUUUGCCAAAGUAUGUAUUAAAAUAAUAUGUGAGCCAGUUUUAUUGCAAAGAACUAUUUUUCUAUGACCCUUGCAUGUUAGUGACCCCAAUAUGUAUGUGAAGCCCUUUGUAGGAAUAUCUUACAAUAUAGCGAACCCUAUUAAAGCAUGGGAACUCUUUUGUGAAUGACUUCUUUGUUUGUGAAGCCAGUAUUGCAUGUGAACUUAGUCUUGUAUGUUCAAGUGCGAACUUAGGAAGUUUGAGAACUGCAAUUACUUUGCAAACUCAUGUUUUUGUGAGAACUUAUGCUUUAUGUUGUACUGCAAACUCAUAUGUUACUUUGUUAGGCAAACCUAUAUUGUAUGAUGUAUAAAGCCUAAGUUGAGGUGCGAACCUUAAUAAUAAUUUGUAUGUACUUCUACUUAUGUAUGAUUGUGUAUACCCUAAAUUGCUUGUUCGUAUCUUACAUGGGAACCCUUAAACCUUUCUAUUGUUUGACAUGCGAACCAUUCCUUUGUUUGUUUUGCAAGCUCACAUGUUUUACAUUUUGUGUAUGGUAUAAUUCCGUUGCACUGUUUUAACUUAACAUAUUAUUUGUUGUAAGUAAGUGAUGUGUUGGAGGUUAGGUUGAGAGUUAAUAGAGAGUCACUUAUAACUCGCUAAAAUUGGGUCGAACUUACUUGGCUAAAUUUAAGGUGUUAUAGGACAAUUACCUAAAAAAGAUUAUAGCAUUGUUAGAUGUACAUAUCAAGGUAAUUAUUGUCUUUUCCUCUUUACUCUUUGACACUAUCUAAGCAAACUUUAUUAAAUGAUUAAAUUUUCUAAAUUGUAUCAUAUUUCGGGUUCAUAUCAACUAAAUGCAUUAAAAAUCUUAUAUAUCCAUCAUAGUUGAUCUUUCAAUACAGAAAGCAAAGCUUUAUGCCUUAAAUAAAUUACAUUCAAAUAUUUUUAUUUUAUUAUUAACUUUGUUAUUUGAGGAUAAAUGAUAAGAAAUAUUGUUAUUUGUUAGGCUUUCUAAUCAUGAUUCUCAGGAUAUGACAACAUUCUCUAUGCCUGAAAAAAUUGGAAGAAUUGGAUGUUUCUUUGAAACAGAUCAGCGAUCCAUCAUUUACAACUACAAACCGUAAAAUGAAUAUUCUACAUUUUAAUGUUCAGUUUCAUCUCGAUUAUGUGGUCUCAUACAAAUAGGUGUAUUAUUCAUAAAUGAAAAGGAUGCAAAGUCAUUGAUUAACUUUUAAGUCCCUGCACUCCUUGUAAAUUAGUAACUUAGUCUUUACAGUUUUGUUUUUAAGAAUUUAAUUUCUCAACUUUUCAUAUUUCAAAUUUUAGAUAAAUUAUUAACAUUAUUUAAAUUAUUUUGUUAAAUUCAAUUUCAUAACUUACAUUACUACUCUAAGUGAAUAUAACUUUAUUUUAAAAUUUUAAAAUUUUAUACCAACAAAUUAAAAAAUAUAUAUUAAUUUCUACUCUUUUACCCUUUUCAUCUUCUACUCCUUUCAAUAAUGGCUCAUUUAAAACUCCCUUACAAAAUACCUCCAACUCAAGGCAACCUUUUACUAUUAAUUUCUCUAAACAUGGGAAUCCAAAAGUACAAAAGCUCUUGAUGCUCAGAAUGAUUGAACUAUCUCAAGAAUAAAUGCUCCUAGUUAUGUGGAAUAAAACAAAUAGUUCAUCGACUAUGAUUAAAUGCAUAAGAUAAAAGUUUAACAGAAUUUUAAACUUUUUUUAUUUAGAAUUUAAAUUAACGUGUAAAAAUUGAUUUAAUCUUGUUGCUUUUGUUGUGCCAUCACACUGGUGCAGAUGUAUUAGUUAUAAUUAUAUAUUUGAAUUUUUUAAUUUUAUAAAAAAUAUUUUAAUUAAUUAAUUAAUUUUUUGUUUUUUAAAUUUAUAUUAUUUAUCAAAUAGAUAAAGAAGUUAGAUAUUUAAAUUAUUAGAAGCUGAAAGUUCUGAUUCUUUUAUGACCGGUUUUUUAAGUCUUGCCUUCAGAAUCUUGGGUGUCUUAUCUUUUAGCAUCCCUUAACUCAUGACACGACUUUAUGAGUGUUUUGUUUGAUAAAUUUAAGUUAUAAUUGUAGGUUAAAUUAUUUAUACAUUUCUUAACAAAUUUAUGAGUGUUUCUUCUUUCAUAUUUUUUAAAAAGAAAAGAAAAUGAAUUAAGAAUUCUUAAAAAAAAAAGUUAAAAAGAAUCAAAACUGACUUGGAAGACAAAGAAUAAAGUAUAAAGAAGUUUAAAUGUUUGAAGUUAUUUAAAGUUUUUUUUUUCCAAAUUUCCAUAAGAAUUUUUGUAUCUUUUUCAAGUUCAGAUUGGAAAAUCAUAAGGGAAAGAAUUUUUAGGUUCUAAAUAUUCUUAGAGUUGAAAUUACCACAAUAAAAGCUGUUAGGAAAGUCAUGAAACUUUAGUUUUUUCCAAUCUUUUAAAGAAUACAUGUAGCUCAGUUCAGCACUGACAAUUGAAGUUACAAAUCAAAAUGCAAUUGCUCAUGUACAACACUCUGGUAGACUAGAUUAUCGGAUGCAUUUCUGAACUUAGGCAUGAGAAUAUGACUCUCAAAGACGAUGAAAAAAUGGAACAUAUCCUUGUUAGACAUAUGCUCUUACCUGAAUUUCAAACUCAAAGUUGGAGUAACAUAACUAGGAAGUGAAAUAACAACUUUAGAUCAGUGAAUAUGGCUACUACUGAGCAGCAGCAACAUACUCUAGUAGACAGCAAUGAAAGGGACAUCUCCCGUAACUCUUUAUAAAGUAACUGCGCCAAAAUGAUAAGCGAAAUAAUCAAUUUCUGCCAUUAAACUACAUUUUAUGCUUAACCCCAUUACUAAAAGUAGGAUAUUGUUAACACUGGAACACAAAAUCAUUUCUGUGAUUCUUUGAAACACUUACCUUUCUAAAGCAAUAUCUCCAAUUUUCCUUCAAUUUGGCCUUUCUGUAGUAUGUAUCCUUGAGCUAAAACUCUUCAAUAUGAUUAGCCUGUAAAAUAGAAGGAUGUAAUAAGUUUAGGAAAAUACAGAUUUAAGGCUCUUUCCAUAACAAUGGAUUGAGUGAUUGUAACUGCAUGUAAAUUGUUGGCAUGUUUCUUAUUUGCAUCCGCUGUAAUUUCAUCAUUCAUCCCCUAAUAUUAAAAUGGAAAAAGGUAUUCCAAAGUUAUGUUUUUCCCCCUUCAAUCAAACACAUAUGUAAGAUACAGACUCACGCAGUUAGUUGACCGGUUGUGCCAUAUCUUUCUCCAGUUUCCCACACCCAUGAUUCUCUGUUCCUACAAGUAAGGUUAGUUUGCUAGAGAAAACCAAGUAGUACAACAAGAAUAGGGAAUCAGAAACAAAACAAAAACAAAAAAAAAUGAAAGAAAACAAUGAUGCAAGAAAACAAAAAUGGGAUAUCACCUUUCAAUGGAAAGAGUUGGAAAAAGAAUCUCUGAGUUGUUUCUUUCUAUCCCAAGAGAAUAAUGUCAGUGCCACUAGCGAUCAUAAGAUUGGCCUUUUUCCUCUAAAUCAUUUUCUCAACCCUUCACAAUUGACAUCUAAAACCUUAAGUUUCUUGAAAUUUAAACUUCCAUGAAUGUUCUUCCAUAUUUCAAUUGACUUGGAAAAUUCAGCCUACAAAAUCUGACAAAGAAACAAGGAUUAAAAUUCAUAAAGGUUAUAACGAAGCCAACCCAAACCAUAUGAAAGAAAGAAUGAUACUAUGGGAACAAUCUCCUCCACUCCACAAUCAGAUAUUGCAAGAAAACCAAGUUGUGGUAGGUCUUUGGCUACUGAGGCUGGAAAUACAUUCUUCAAACUUGGACAGCCCAAAACAGAUAUUGCACAGAUUUUUUUAAAUGAAAAAAUUCCUCUGGGAUCAUUUUUCCAAAUAUACUUCAACUUUGGUAAUCCAAAAAUAUGCAAUUUUCUUAGUUGAGCGGUUGCAAGUAAAGCUGUUUCUUUUUCUUCAUGCAUAUUAGAUGGAAAAAUGGUUAACAACUUAUCACAUCCUCCAACGGUCAAUUGUUGUAGUUUGGGAAAUGCAACCUGCACUCAUGCCAAUUUAAUGAAAUUAGAAGCUAGCUGUUUGCUUCAUUUAUUGUGUGGGUUUGUGGAAAAGUGAAAAAAUAUAUAUUUAUUUUGAGUGUGAUUGUUGAAAAAAAGAGAUGAAAAAAAUAGGAGAAAUGUUUAUUUUUUAUCCUAAUGUAUAAAAACAAAUCAUUCUAAAUUGAAAUAAUAAGAGAGAAAAUGAGAGAGAUGCUUGUUAGUCUAAAUAUAUACAUUUUUCAAAAAUUUCAUUUUCUUUCCUCUCAUUUUCAACUGUACCAAAAAAUCAAUAAAAAGAAAUAUAUAUAUUUUCUUUCACUCCAUCUGUUUUUUUUUUCACUAAACCUUAAAGCCAAAGCCAACAAGGAAAAAAAAAUGAAUAAACCUAAAACUUAAGAAUUAACCCACCUUAUUGUCAAAUAGAUCACCUUGACUAGAGAUUCGUUGGUUCCCUUCCCUUGUAUAUCUACAUAUGAAGCCCUCCAAGUUUGAACAGUUGUAUAUCGUCAUUGACUUCAUAAAUGGAAAUUCAAUAACUUUAUUUUGAGAAUUGAAGCAAAAUCCACGCAAAUGCUGAAGAUCCUGUAGCUCUAAGGACUCUAACUGAGGAAAUAAUGAUAAAGUCAUGGCAACCUGAGUUGCUUCUUCUAUAUCCUCCCAAAAGAUUAUCUCCUCUAAGCAGUUGCACUUAGUUACCUCAAAAUAUUUGAGAUGAACUAGAUAUUUAGCCAUAGAAAAUGAUAACAGGUAAAUUAUGUUUCCACAACCCUCGAUUUUCAAUGUGGUUAACUUCUCAUGAGUGUAAAAAGAUACAUUUGACAACUGGUUCUGCCAUACCCUUGUAAUAUUAAGCGAUGAUAACUGCAAUUUCUCCAAGGAAGGGAACAAUAUCUACAACCAUACACAUAGUUAAUUCUACUUUCAAAUCAAUAUUGUAAAUAUAUAUAUAUAUUUCUAUUUUUGCAAUUAACAAAAAAUAAAGUCUGCCGAUCAAAACAACGUGUCAUAAAAUAGAAAAUUUCUAGUAAAUAUAAAAUAUGUUGAGAGUAUUGGGGACAGAAGAACCCAUCAUAUGAUCAGAAAAAGGGAAAAAAUCUCACAUAACUAAGCGACAGCGCAAGAGCAAUACGGCAUGAUUCAGAAAAAGGAAAGAAAGCCUUGAAAGAUAUUGAAUUAUAGAUACCUUUUCUUCGAAAAGUGGCAAUUCACGUUGAGGCAAUGAGGUAGCAUCGAUUUUGUCUUGAGAGCAAAAGCUAACGAGUUGAGGAAGACCCUGCAAUGUCAAGGACUGCAAUUCAAGAAAUUCAUUUCUAUCAUUAGUGAUAGAUUCAAUAUCCAAACCAUUUUGGAUAUGCAGAUUCCGCAAAUGUGAUAGCCUUUCCUCAUCUGUUAACUCCUUCAGUGCAAUCUUCACACCUUUCAGUUCAUCCAAUUGUAAAUCUUGAGUUCUCUUUACCAACUUCUUAAUUCCAUGAUCCAAAUCAUCAAUGCUUGUGUUUAGCCUGAGUUUUAAGGUUCUUGAAUAUUGAGAGUUGCCAAACCGCUCCCAUUCCUUUCCUAUGAAAAUCUUGUAUCUUUCCAACUUCUGCAACUUUUGAAAGAAGUCCUCUGGGGCAGCCUCGGCGUCCGGAAUUUGAACUUCUAAAGUGGACAAAUGAGACAGUGUGUUCAGUUCAGCAAGACUAGCAUUGGGUUGUCCCCAUUGAAUAGAAGUGCCACCCAUAUAUAAUUCUUCUAAUUUUGACAAACUUGGCAACACGUCUGCUGAAAUUGUUUUUAGUACAACCACUUACAUCUAACAACUUUAGCUUCAACAACUGCCAAGUAUCCUUGGGUACAAUUUUGAUAUCAGAUCCAGCAAGGCUAAGCACAUUUAAGUUCUUGAGAGCUCCAAUAAUGGUUAGGUUAUCUCCCAAAUUGCAGCAAUCUAGGCACAAUGUACUGAGGCUAGUUAGGAGACCAAUUGAUGAAGGUAAAGAAGAAAAAUGCAUGCGAGUCAAAUCUAAGACUUGAAGACUUUUUGCUUCCUUGAAGAAGUUAUCCGGCAAAGUCAAGGAGAGAUCCUUGCUUAAUAAAAAGAAAAGAAAAAGCUGUGGACAAUUCAACUGGUCAGGAAGCUUGUUGAUACUAGGAUGCUGCAAAAUAAUCUUGUUGCACUCUUUCAUUGACUCUCCAUUUGGCCAAUCUGUUACAGCAUCCUCAUCCUCAUCAUUAUCCUCCUCUGUUAAAGCAAGCACUUGAUUGUCCUUUGAAGCCAUUGAUUUGGCUACAAUAUAAGUAAGAUCAUGCACAUCAAAGUACUCCUCAUUGGUACUUUUACUAUCAAGCAACAGACAAGAUUCUUUGAGAGUACUCAGCAUUUUUAACAGCCUAUCUCGUGCUGCUUUCACGGUGUUGACUCCUUUAAUUAGACCCAAACCAUGAGCAUAUCUCAACAAGUCUUCAAUCCUAGUGUCACGACGCAGUAAACUGCAAAGCAGGAAAAUCUGCUUGAGGUCUUCACUCGGUAAAUGAUUGAUACUCAGCUCAAUAGCCGAAUGUACCUCAGCAGAUAUCUCAUUGGAGCUUUUUUCCAAGUAAGGCCUCUGUAGUUGUUGUAAAGCAUCCCUCCAAACAAAUAAAGGUUUAUUUCGCAACGCCCUUGCAACUGUUGCAAGGGCGAGUGGUAAUCUUGCACAUUUCUCGGCUACCUUAAUUGCUGUAGAUCGCAGCUCCUCGUUACUUUCAAAACUGUCCCCGGCAAUCUUCCUAAAGAACUCCCAAGCUUCUUCGUUUUCUAAAUCACCAAUUGCAAAGGUCUUUGUAGCAUCCAUCCCGUUGCUUAGAACAUUUUGAUCUCUUGUGGUCAACAGUAUUUUGCAUCCUUUGUGUCGACUUCCAAAUGGAAUUCCGACUUCCUCUAGAUCCAGUUUCUUCCAAAGAUCAUCCAAAAUAAUAAGAACAUUUUUCUCCUUCCUCAAUCUUUCACACAAUCUACGGGCUCUUACAACCGGACUGUUUUCUUCAAGCUUCAAACCCAAUGAGUAUGCUAUUUGCUCUUGGAUUUCCUUAAUGUCAGGAAUUCGAGAUACAAUUGCCCUGACUACUGAAUCGAAUAACUUAACCUCAUGGAGUUGUCUCUCAACUUCUUUGACCAGAGAUGUUUUGCCCACACCAGCCAUCCCGUACACUCCAAUCAUGCCUGUUGUUGCAUCUUUCAGUGACUCCAUGAUAUCAUCGAAAACCUCCUCUCUUGAUUUAAAUGCCUCAAAGUCUGGAUGGACUAUGGGUCCAGGAACAUCAUGGUAUCCCACGCGCUCAAAUUGGCAAUCUUUGAUAAGCUCAUCAAAAGUGGCAGCAGCUUCUUCAGCUUUCCUGCUAAGCUGGUAGCGAGACUUGAUGUUAGGACACAAGCCAAAGAAGCGCUUGGUCUUCGCUUUGACUUCAAGAUCCUUCACUUUCUUCUCCUUUUCAGUGACAACCUUCUCCACUCGCUGGCGCCAAUCCAGGACAUCGGCUUUAAUCUUCUCCCCGUUCCUUUCUGCAACAUCAACAUCUUGCUGCACACUUGUUCUUUUUGCAAUCAACGUCCUGUGUUUCUGCUCGAACUUGUCAACAAUUUUCUGGUAGAAGACUACAUAUCUAAUAUGACGUUUAACUUGGUGGAAAAUACCUUUGGCAGCCUCGGAAGAGACAUUGGCAGCAGCACCAGUACCAAUUGCUUCCAUUUUAUUUAUUUUUUUGCUUUGGGGAUACAGAUGACUGUCAGAGAGAGUAAAAAAAGAGGCAAGAAAGAAAAUACUAAAAGGAAAGAAGCAAGCAAGAAGAAAUCAGAAAUGAUGUGAAGAAGCCAUUAGCAGAUAAGGAUUAGAAAUUCAGAAAGGCGUGGAAUUGGAUAUGGACUGUUGUCUUCGACUCUGUUAGACUUUAGAUUAGAAAUCAAAGAACCAGCAAAAGAAAGCAGAGAAUGGAUGUGGAUGGUUGCGGGUAUUUUCAGUGGAAAUUAAGUUGAAUGAUUUAACUUUUAAAAAUUACAUAAUUAUUUAUGAGAAUAAUAUAUUUUUAUUAGGGGUGUUCAUUAACCGACCGAUUAACCGACCCGAAAUAACAUUAACCGAAUUAACCGACCUUUUAAAAUUUUUAACAGUUAGCCGAAUCAAAAUUUUAAAAAAAAAAUUUAACCGAACCGAAAAUUUUCGGUUAAUAAAUUACUCCUAUGGUUGAUAUAUGCAACCGCACAACAUUGCAAUUAAAAAAUUUACAAGAAAGAAAGUUCAAUUUUUAUCCUCUUACUAGAUUUUUUUGGUCAAGCUAACAAAAGAGAUCAAACUUUGUAAAACAACAAUCAUCCCCUCAUCUCCUUCCCCAUUCAUCUUCAAGUUUUUCAUUGUUCUUAUACUCUCGCCCAAAUCUCUCAAUCUCAAAUACCAUACUAAAUUGAUACCCAACUUUACUAGACCCAAACUACAUCACCACUUCAUCAUCGAGCACUCACCGCUAAACCCACAUCGAAAGACAUCUUUUUUUUUUUUACAAACAUACCUAAACUCUGUUUCGUAUUUUCUUUUAAUGAGGAAAAAUCAGUUAAUGAAGCAUCACUUAGUCUUAAGCAUCUAAAAUCUCAAAGCCCUGCAUUUUGCAGCUGAAAUAGAGCCAAAGAUGUUUCUAUAAUUAAAGGCUUUUUUAUUUGAAUCCCUCAACCAACUAUUUGAUCAUGGUUCUAGUAGAAUUUAGUAGUGAUUGAUUCAAAAAAGUAAUUCAAAAGACUCGUUUAGUUGGGUGAGGUUUAAAAAAAUAUAUUUAUUCAAAAAAUUUAAGAAAAUUUGAGGGUUAAAUUUUAUUGAAUCCCUAAAAAAAGGGUAAAUUAAAGAAAUAUUUAUUUGAAUCCCUCAACCAAAUUCAUAUUUAAUCCUUUAUGUAAUUUUAUAUAUAUUUUUAGUAAAUUAUAUUUUUAUGUCAUUUUAUAAUAAAUUUUUAUUUAUUUUCAAGUUUUUAAAACUAUAAUUUUUUUUUGAAUUUGGACUAAAUUGCCAAAAUAAGCAAAUAUUGAGGGUUAAAUUUGUUGAAUUUUUAGAAUUAAGAACAAAUAGACAAAAUGUGUAAAGUGUUAAGGGUUAAUUUUGUUUUUAUAACAAUCAAAAGACGAUCAUGUCAACAUUUUGUUUAGUGACCAAGGCAUUUUAAUGGAGUGACUAAAAAUGACAAUUAAUCUAACGGGUGACUAAAUUAACAAAAAUAAAUCGGUGACCAAAAUAGGAACGCGCUAAAACUUUGAUGACAAUCUAAGUAGUCUACUCUUUAAAUUUUUUAAAAUUAUUUUUAAGAAAAAAUUUAAAAUGAUCAAAUUGAUAUUUUAAUCAUAGUUCAUGGGCUAAAUUGAAACUUUUGAAAGAUGAAUGACUGAAAUGCAAUUUGAAUCAAAGUUUAGGAACAAUUGGUAUAGUUUAUUCUAUUUUAUACACUUUUGAACCCUCACUAAAUUCUUCUUAAUAUUAUUUUAGUUCUAAUUAGUUAUGAUUAGUUAAAGAAAACUAAUGUAAAAAAUUAAAUAAAACUAAAAAAAGAUUAUUAUGAUAAUAUUUUUUUAUACUUUUAAAUUUUUUAAAUAAAAAAAUUUAUAAAUUAAAUAAUUAAAUACAUGUUGAAUAAUAUUAUAAUACAAGUUUAUUAUCAGUUUACCUAUAUCUAUAAUUAAAUAUUUUAAAAAAAAAUUAACAUAUAAUGUGUUUUUAUUGGUGGGCAAGGAUAGUAUAAAUAUCUUUUGAAGUUUCAACCUUAUUUUGUUUUCAGCUUGUUCAAUAAUUGAGAAGGUUCACCACUUGUUCAAUAAUUGAGGAGGCUGGUCGUGCACGUGACAUCAUAAUUGAUUUCCUAUUGUUUCGGUUCUACAAAAUAGUUUAUAUUUUGUUUUGCUCAAAAUGGUAAUGUGUUUCAACUCAUUUUUGGUGUAUUUAAAUUAAAUUAUAGAGUAAAAGAUUAAAUAAUAAAAUAUAUUUUCAGUCAUAUUCGGAAUUUAAUAUUUUUACUUUUAUUUUUAAAAAUUUAAAAUAAAAAAUGUAGAUCUAAUUGCUAUUAUCCUUAAAAUUCUUCUACAAAAUUAUACAAUGACAUUUAAAAAUUAAAAAAAUUCACUUGAUAACCAUAUAAUAAUAAAAAUAAUGUUAUAAAUACUGAUUGGGAUUUUUCUUAAAACUGCACAUUUGAAUUCGUUAUGGUAAAAAAAAAUUUCCCAUUUAAAUAGUAUUUUUUUUAACAAAAAUUGACAUCAAAAUUUCAAUAAACAUAGUUAACAAUUUAACUUAGAUAAUAACGUAAAAAUGUUAAAAAUUAAACUAUAUAUAUAACAACCCACAUUUGAUCCAAUCAUCAGAUCUAAAUAUACAACGUGGAAGCAAUUUGAUGUAGCUUCUCUUUAAAAGAAACAACACAAAUUUCACCUUAUACAAGCAUAAACAAUUUAUCACAUUCGGUUUUAUGCAAGGUUAAGCGAAUUUAAAAACAUAAACAAUUUAAAACUUGUUAAAGAGUUGUAUUUUUUCAAAGAAAAAUGUUAUAUUAAAAACUGUAAGUAAUCAUUGUAAAAAUUCAGUUACAGUAAUUUUUUUAGUGUAAGAUAUAAACUUUAAUAUUUUUUUAAAUGUUAGUUACUUUAUUAACCUGUUAUUAAAUUUAAGAAAAUAAAAAGAAAUAAUGAAUAACCAAAAUGUCAUAAAUUUCUAUUCAUUUGAAAUCUUUACAUUAAAAUAAGUAAACCAAAGGUAUUAGAACGAAUUAAGACAAAAUAAAGUAUAUUUUUAAUGAUUUUUGUUAAAAUAAAAUGAUAAAAAUAUCUUCAAAUAAUAUAAUUAUUUUACUUUCGAAAAAAUACUUGCGUAAUUUUUUUAAUCGAUCUGGUAUCCGGUUGACUCGUAACACCAACUUAGACAAAAAUUUAAAUAAUAGCUUAGAUUUAUCAAUAAUUUAUUAUAUUAUUCAUCAUAUAUUACUAGUUUAUAAUUAUUUAUAAAAUUUACUAUAUAUUAUGAAUAUAUCAUAAACAUAAAAUUAUUUAUCAUUCAGAGAUUUUGUAACACCCAAAAAUUUUGGUGACAUAAAUGAUAUUAUUAAGAGAAUAUAAAUACUAAAUUUUCUCAUUUUCAUAUUUUUUAAACAGAAAAAACAAUGAUUUUAAGAAUUCUUCAAAGAAAAAAAAGGUUAAAAAGAAGCAAAAGGGUUUUGGAAGGCAAACAAUAAAGUGUAAAGAAGCUUUAAAUGUUUAAGGUUAUUUAAAUAUUUCAUUAAUGGAAGCAUCACUCACAACAAUAUUUAAGGUUAUAUCUCCGUGCAUGCAUACCAUGUUGUAUUCUUCCAUCUUUGCCAAAGUAUGUAUUAAAAUAAUAUGUGAGCCAGUUGUUCUUACUCUCGAAAAAAAUAUUAACAUAAUUUAGGGAUUUCUACAGAUCAAGACACAAAUGAAUAAAUCGUUUAAUUCAAAUUUAUAAUAAUAGGUGAAGUCUAGGUGGAUUCUUUCUUGGGUAUUGUCUAUCUUAUUGGUUAUUAUUCGAUUACUUCCUUGAUUCAUUCUUUGUUACGUUCUUAGUUAAAUUAUUUUAGUAAAUUUAGAUUAAACACACCACUCCAAAUUGUCAGUUAAAUAAUAGAAAAACGGUAAUUACUAGUACUUUUAGUCCUCGUGGAUACGAUAUUCUCUACUCACCAUAGCUAUACUAUUGUUCGAUACGUGUGCUUGCCUUCGUCGUAUUUAUAGUUAGUUCAGUGGCUAUCACUAUUAUUUGUUGGUUGCUAUGGACGGAUCGUAAUUCUUAUGUUUUUUUUCUAGUAGUAACACUUGUGUUCAGGACAUUAUGGUUACAGGUAUUACUUGGGCAAUGAGUUAUUUAUCUCAAAGUUCACGGGGAAUUCAGUCGCUCACUAUGACAUUGGCGACAUGUUGGUCUCCUCUGGAUCAUGGAUGGAUUAAGAUGAAUUCGGAUGGUGCAGUGUCAAUGAACGAUGAUAACGCCUCAAUUGGAGGUCUUUUUAAGGAUGUAAAUGAUCAUUAUGUGGGUACUCCUUGAAAGGCGCAAGGAAACGUUCUUUCGUAUAGAAGCUCGAGCUAUUCUUAUAGUUUUACGUAUUGCAUGGGAGAAAGGUUACAGACAGUUGGAAUGCGGCAAUGCACUACUUGUAGAGUCCGUUUUUACUGGUAGUGCUGCUAGUAGUAACCUAGCUGAAUUAUGUUUAAUCAAUGUUUACCUUAAGAGGAAUUGGAAGACAAGAAUCUGUCACAUUCCUAGAUCUCAGAAUAUGGCUGCUAAUUGAAUGGCGAAAUGUAUUUAUGAUCAUUAGUUUAAGUUGAAGCUUUUUCAAGGUCCCCUAAUUUUGGUUUAAGAGAUUUUACAAUCAGAUGGUGAUUUCCUAAGUAGAGUUGUGUGAUUUCAUUGUUUUCGCUUAAUGUUGUUUGUUUCUACUAAAAAAAAAAGUAGAACAAAAUUAUUGUAAAGAAAUGUUCAAAUCUAACUAUAUUUAUAUUUUUAAUGGUUUUUAUUAAAAUUAUAAAAUGACUAAAACACCUUCAAAUAAUAUAAUUUAUUUUAAUUUUGAAGAAAAUUUUCAUAAUUUUUUAAUUGAUUUGGUACCCAAUUGACUCAUAACACCAACUCAAUUAGGGACUUAAAUAAUAGUAUAAAUUUAUUAAUAAUUUAUUAUAUUAUUCAUCAUAUAUUACUAUUUUAUAAUUAUUUAUAUUUUAUUUACUAUAUAUUAUGAAUAUGUAAUAUCCUGAUUUUGGGCCUAGUCGGAAUAGUGGUUUCGUGACCACAAAAUCUGAGAUAGAAAUAAUUAUUUUAUGAUUAUUUUAAGGUCUAUGAUAUGAUUUCAUAAUUGUGUGAAAAUUUCGUGAAGAAAUUUUAUGCAUAAAGUGCUUAAAUUGAAAUUAAGGACUAAAUCGAAUAAUUUGCAAAACUUGCAUUCUAGAAGUUUCUAGUAUGAAAUUGUUUUGAAAUAUUAAUGAGGAGGUCUUAAAUAGAAAUUUUACGAAUUUUAAGUUCAUGGACAAAAUUAGGACAUGGAAGGGAUUUUUGGAAAGUUUAGUAGUAAGGGCAUUUUGGUCAUUUAAGGGUAAAAUGAAUUAAAAUACAAAAUUAAAAGCCAAAUUUGCUCAUCUUCAACCCCAUGGCCGAAUAUAGCAAGGAGAAACCAUGGCUAGGGUUUUUCAACUCGAUUGUAAGUCCGUUCUAGCCUCGUUUUUAAUGAUUUUUACGUUUUUGGAGUCCCGGUAGCUCGAUUAAGCUUAUGUUAGCAAUAAUUCAACCUAGGGUUCAUAUUUGGAAAAAUACCCAUAGGUGAAAUUUGUGUAUUUUGGUGUUUUAUGAUAGAAUAUGAGGUUUUAAAUUAUGUUAGACAACUUGUGCUACUCGGUUUUAAGUGAAAACGAGCAAAAGGGCUUAAUCGGUAAAAAUACCUAAUAGUCAUAAGUACAUGUUAGAGUGAGAAUUUGACGUUGCCAUAGAAGGGAAAAAUGAUCAUCAUGUUAUAAAACAUAAGAAUAAGGAAUAAAGUUUAAUUCCCGAGCCUAGGGGCAAAAGUGUAAAUAUGCAAAAGUUUAGGGGCAAAAUUGUAAAUUUUCCAAAAUAUGAUUUUGGGUCAAUUUGAAUAAUGUGAGUCCUAAUUAGACUAUAUUUUAAAUGAUAGAGCAAGGAAAACUGAAAUUCGGGCUAAAAUGGGGAAAAUACCAAGUUGUGGACGAAAUGGUAAAAAUAGCCAUUUUCGCAUACGAGGUAAGUUCAUGUGUAAAUAAUGUAGCAUAAAUGUUAUUUUUAAGUUAUUAAUGUUAAUUAUAUGAUAUGCUGAUUUUUAUCAUGAAAUAUAUGCUUUGUGGUUAUUUUCGAAUAAAAUGCAAAUUAUGUGAAUUAUUUGUUAAAUAUAAAGUGCUACCGAGUAUUGGUUUCGGUAUUUUAUGGAAGAUGGCAUGGAGAUGUGUUCGAGGAAAAUCCCGUUUGAACCUUAGGAAUAGAUUAGGAUACAAGUGACAUGUCACUAGGAUUGUUGAGCAUCCGAACUCGUUGAGUUGAGUCCGAGUUCACUUAUGGAUGCAAAUGUCCGAACUCGUUGAGUUGAGUCCGAGUUCGAGAGAUGUAACUAGGCAUCCGGACUCGUUGAGUUGAGUCCGAGUUCACCUAUGGAUGCGAACGCCCGAGCUCGUUGAGUUGAGUCCGAGUUCGCUUAUGGGCGGGUUACAUGGUAGCUUGGCUACAUAUGUGGCACUUAUGUGCAAACUUUCCAUGUAUCCGAAUUAUAUUCCGAUGUGUUCAACGGGUAAAAUUCUACUCAAGCGGAGGAAUACUCGAGAUGAAAGGGACAUAUUGGUAAGUGUUGUAAAAUGGACACUUUAGACAGGUAUGUUCUUAACCCUCGGGUUGGAAAUAGAUACAACAACGGUAAGAUCAUAAGAUGAUGAAUGAUAUUUAGAAAAUGUGAUAUUAAUGUCUCGGUGAUGAUUAUGUAAAUGAUGUUUUAUGUUUGCUUAUAUAGUUAUGUUACUUGCUAUUUGCAUGUGAACUUACUAAGCAUUUAUGCUUACUCCCUCCUUUUCAUUCCUUGUAGUUUUGACAAGCCAGCUCGGAAAUCGGGAACGGUCGGAGGCUCGCUCACACUAUCCGUAUACCAUCUUGGCAUAAUGGCUUGUAUAUUUUGAGUAUGGCAUGUAUAGCAUUAUAAUCAUUUUGUGUAUAUGGUCUUAUGAUAUGGUUAUUGAGUGGUAUGGAAAUGCUUGAUAAUGAUUAGCCAUUGGAAUGGCUAAUCAUGAUCAUAUUUGGUGUUAUGUAUGCUAAAUUGCUAGCUAAUCCAUGGAAACCAUGAAAUAGGUAAAAUUUACCAUAAAAUGGAUUCAAACAGCAGUAGUGACGUGAAUUUGAAAAAUCACUAAAAAUAGUAUAAAUGGAAUUAAAUAAUGAAUAAGUUAUGGAAUUGAAGCUUGAUGAGUCUAUUUUCAUAUGAAAGAAGCGAAACAGGUAUAUGAGCUAUAUUUUAUGAGAUGUUUAAAUUUUUGUGAAACAGGGCCAGAGCGAUUUCUGGAUCCCCUGUUCUGACUUUAGAAAUUCACCAUAAAUUUUACAAAGAUAAUUAGAAGUCAUGAUUUAUAUGUACAGAUUCCUUAUUGAGUCUAGUUUUAUUAGAGACAAACGGCAUAGUCAUUGAAGCUCUGUAGAGGGAGAUAUCUGAUUCGUAAUACACAGAGGUCAGAGUAGUCGAACCCUGAAACAGGGGAGACUUUAACUAAUAAACUGUACUAAUUGGCCUGACCAAAAAUUCUAGAAAAAAAUUAGUAGAUGGAUAUAUGAGUCUAGUUUCAGAAAAAAUUUACGGAAUUGGAUUUCGAGUUUCGUAACUCGAAAUAUGAUUUUUAAAGCGACUGUGAUGCAGUUAGCCAGCUUGUCUGGAAAUUUUAAAAUGAAUUGUAUGAGCUGUUUAAUUAAUGAAUUAAGUCCGUUAACACCUCGUGUUCGACUCCGGCAACGGUAUCGGGUACGGGGUGUUACAGAAUAUAUUAUAAAGAUGAGAUUAUUUAUCAGAAGUUUUGUAACAACCAAAAAUCUUGGUGGCAUAAAUGAUAUUAUUAUGAGAAUAUAAAUAGUAAAAUUUUCAAAAAGAGGGUAAGAAUUAUUAAUUGAAUAAUGUAAGUAGAAUUGGACACCAAAAUGAAAAAGUAUAAAUAGAAAUUUUUGAGAAAGGAUUUAAUUGAAAUUUUACAAAAGUGUGAGGAAUAAAAUGUGAAUAGCUUAUAAAAUAAAAAUGGUAGAAAAUUAAUGAAGUAUUUUAUGUAAAAAUGAAAUUGAAAAUAUAUUGAUAUUUAGAAUUUAAAAAAUUAGGAUAUUAAUUAAAUUGUAAUUAAAAAAAUUAGGAGGGACUUAAGUGAAAAGAUGAGUUAACUGUAAUUAAACCAUGAAGAAAUAAUACCUCCAAAAGUAAUUAUUACAUUAGGAUACAAAUAAGAGAUGGAAAAGGGUGAAAUGACUAGAAAUAUAUUUUAAAAGGUAUUAAAAUAAUUAAUGAUUUAAUAACUAAAUAAAAUAAAUGAUGAAAUGCCGAGAAAUGACAAAUAUAUCAUGAUCUUUCAUCCCGAGGUGGACUUAGGGUUACCCCUAAAAUGGAAAUUCUGUUAUUAAUAAAGAUAAAAUUAAACUUGAACCCUCUUAAAACUAUCAAAAUUUUAUUUAAUCUUUAAAAAUUAUAAAGAUAUAAAUAAUUUAAUUUUGACCCUAAACUUUUUUUUCCUGACUUGCCCCUGCUUCCAUCAUUGGUUUCGGAUAAAGAUACCCCAUGUGUUUUUCAACUUUUUUUUUUUAUACUAACAGCGGACUCGAAAAUUGAAUGAGAACACCGUAUGGUGGGAAUUUUAGUGAAAAAGUUGUUAUGACCUGAGAAUUUUAGAAGAUAAUCUUUAUGCCCAAGUCUUGAGGAAAAUAUAUAUAUCUUUUUUGAGGAUUUCGAAUUUCAUAUUAAAGGAAAUAAAUGUUAAUCUUGAUCAAUGGGUUUAUAAUUGUCCAUUUGCAGAUCAAGUUACUGCUAUAUAGGUUGAAGGAAAUAACUCGAAUGUUUUAUUUGAAAGAGACAUAACCAUUCAUUAUCAUUCUAGAAGGUAAGAUAGGGUUAAAUAGCAUUUUUGUUGUUACAAUGUUGUGCAAUAUCCUAUACUCUUCCCAAAUGGAUAAGUUGGGUGGCAUCAAACUGUUAAGAAAGUUAGACUUGAUGGUAAUGAAGAAAUUUUUGAAUGUGAAGAUGAUUUUAUAAUUUUUUAAAUUAUUUUAAUUUUGUUAGUUUUAUUUAAUAAUUGUUUUUACAAUUUCUCUAUUCUACAUUUGUAAGUAAUUGAAUUUGUGAGUAGAAACUAAAUGGUGGAAUACAAAUAGAAAAAAAAAGCCCUAAUGAAAUACAACAUUUUUGAAUUCACCAUAACUUAACUCACAAAUACAUUUUCAUAUUUACGAGUAUUCUUAUUUUCAUAUUUUUUUUAAACAGAAAAAACAAUGAUUUUAAGAAUUCUUCAAAGAAAAAAACAGGUUAAAAAGAAGCAAAAGGGUUUUGGAAGGCAAACAAUAAAGUGUAAAGAAGCUUUAAAUGUUUAAGGUUAUUUAAAUAUUCACAUGGAAAUAUUUCAUUAAUGCAUGGAAGCAUCACUCACAACAAUAUUUUUAAGAUUUAAGAGCUCCAAAACUUCAAGCUUAAAAUACACCCUUCUGGAAGUUGUCCAUGCCAUAUCUCUUUCAUGUUGUCAUUGCUUUCCAAUCUCAGUUCUUCUAAACACGGGAAUGUGCCCUGGUCAGUUGACAAAUGUGUUAAACAAAAGCAAGGAUCGAUUAAUUUCGAUAAAGGAAAUGGAAUUGUCGCAAUGAGUUUAUUGCAUAUCCAGACACUCUUGAACUCUCAAUGUCGCAUAAUACUAAUACAAAUCUCAUGCUCGGUCUUCCGUUUUAGAUGGUAAACAUGCAUACUAUUUGAAAUCAGAUUAGGAUAGCAAGGAUGAAAUUAGAUAAAGGGUAUAGAAUUGUGCCAACACUUUAUUGCUUAAUACUAAUACUAUUUUCAUCCUUGGCCCUUCGUUUUAGUUAGUAAACAUGCAUGCUAUUAGAAUUCAGAUCAGGAUAGCUAUCGAGAGAAUGCUUAUGGAUUAGAUGUGGAUGGAUUUAUGCAGAAAGUAAAACAUGCACAUCUAGUUUUACUAAUUACUAUGUUAGAAUAAGAAAUAGAAAAUUAAUGCAUCUUGUGGACAUGUUUCAUAUACCAUAUUGAUCCAAAAUAAGGGUUGCUGUCCUCCUGUUUCACGGGAGCUUAAUAUUCUGUAGCAAAUAUCUCCACUUUGUCACAUCCAUAAAGAUCCAAAAUUUUCAAUAAUGGCCAUUCGGUGGUAUGCAGCCCAGAGUAGAAACUCUUCAGUUUUGGUAGCAUAGAAAGGUUCAGGUAUGUCAUUUGAGGAAAUAAAAACUGGUUCUUAUUUCUGCCUCGGUGAAUUUGUGUUCAAAUAAUUCUUCUAAUGAAGCACACUCCAUUAUUUGCAGAUUUUUUAGUCUCUGAAGUCUUUCCAGCAUAUUAAGUGGGAAAAUGUUUGAUAGUUUCACACAACUAUGCACUUCAAGGUGUUUUAAUUUGGAGGAGGAGUUCAUCUCAAGUUGGUCAUCCCAUAUCCUUUCCAUAUUCCCCAUGUCUACAAUUGUCAAAUCCUUUAACAAAGGUAAUGACACCUACAAAAAUCAUUUGAUUGUGUUAAUAACAGAACAUGGUUAAGUAUGUGAGAAAAGAGACAGAACAAUGGAGAGAGGGCCUUUCGACUUUAUUUGAUGAAUUCUGUCUUAAAAUAUUUUAAGCCCCAGAAAAUAUCACUGAACAAUGGGUGCAAAGAGAUACAUGGAUGCAAUUGCCAAGCAUUUUUCAUUUUGAAAAUUGCACUUACAGAAAAAUCGUUUUAAAGAAAGUGAAAAAUUCACAAUGCAGAUCAGCCUGACCUUAUUAAUGAAAAAGGGUUUAGCAGAGACAUUGGACGCAUCCUUUAUAAGAAUAUUCGAGUAUUCUCCACCGAUGAUCUCAUUGUGCAGCUUGUUUGAAACAGUGGAUGCAAAUGCAACCAUCUUUGGCCAGCCAACUAACGGAAUUUCCUUCAAGUUUGGACAUUCCAAUAAAAUAUAUACGUCACACACACACACACAGUAAGGGUUGUUAUAGUUUAGCCUAAAUUAAAAAUGAUCUAAUUUGGUUAAUUAAGGGUUAUUGGGUUUUAAUUAUUAAAUAAAGUAUGAGUCAAAUAUGUAUAAAUAUUCUAGUAAUUGAGUUCUAAUUAAUUUCUAAUUAAUAAUGGGUAAUUAGGAAUUAUGACUAAUAUGCCAAAGCUAUAUAUAUUAGGGUUAUGACCCCUAAAUUACAGACAAUUUAUUUUUUCUAAUAUCUCAUUCUUAGGAAAGAGAGAGCAAAUAUUCUCUGAAUUUUUUGUGUGCUAAUUUGGAAGAUUAAAUCUUCAAAAUUCAUAGAUUUGAAGGAAUUCAUGGAUUCAGGUAUGCUUCCCCAUCUAAUUUUAUUAUUAAUUUGUUCUUAAUGAUUUGACGUGAUAGAUCCUGGCUUAUAAUUUAUUAAUUUUUUUUUAGAUUUAUUUUAAAAAUCGAACAAGUGGUAUCAAAGUCUCGUCAUGUUGAAUCAUUGAGAAUGAAUUGAUUUUUUAUUAUUUUUGGAUUGAUUCGUUUUUUUUAAUUUUAUGGAUUUGAUAUUUUAAUUAUAUACUAUGUUGAAACUUUGAGUUUCUUGAUAAAAAUUUUAGGUUUUAAUUCUUUAAGUAAAGUUUUAGGGUUUUAUAAAUAUAAUCUAGUUUAAUAUUUGCAUAUGCUAUUCGAAAUAUGAAUGUUUAUUUAUUUAUAUAUAUAUAUAAUCAAUUGAUAAAAAUUGAUUUGUGAGAUUUCUUUAUCUUCUUUUUGCACAAUUAUUUUAUAAAUUUUGGUUAAAGUCAUUAUUAGAUUAAAGUUACAUACUUAUAGCUUUUUGCAAUUGAAGAAUUCCAAUUGGGAUGUAUAAUUAGUUUUGAAAGUUAAUUUAUUUGAUAAUCGAAUAAAUGAAUGUUGUUAAGAUUUUUUUUGCACUAUUUAUUUUAAAUUUGUGGUUGAAUGUAUAUGGAAUUAUCAUCUUUUGUCUUUAUUCAUGAUGAAUUAUAUUCACUAUUGAAUUCAAUUCAUAUAUACGAACUAUUACUUUUGGUUUCUACUAUAAUUAUUUUAUAUAAGUUUUAGUCCUUAUAGAACUAGACUAAAAUUAAAAUAUUUGAGAUUUUUUUUUUAAUAUGGUGGCUAUGAAUUUUCAUAAGUAGUUGCGCAUAUGAAGGCUUUUAUACAAUUUGAGAUUCUUUUUAUAUUUGGUAGUUAUGGAUUUUUUUUAAGUAUUUGUGCAUAUAAAAAAGUUUUAUGAUAAUGUCUUUAGUCAUGAAUAUAAAUUUGAGUUUACAUGAAAUAUGUAAAACAAGCCAGUAUUAUUUUUCUAUUAUUAUAAUUGUGUGUAUAUAUAUUAUAUGCAUAUCAAUGAUUUUGAGGAUUAAUGCAUGAUUAUAGUUUAUGUGAAUAGGUGUUUAUAACCAUUAUUCAAUAAGAUAUUUUUUAUAGUUUAAUUGGUGAAAUUAAGUUUUGAUGGAUAUCGUUAAAGUUGUUAAUUUUUUUUAUUAUGGUUAUAUAUUCAAUUUUAUGGGUGCUUUGGUGCAAAUUCAUGUCAACUAUAAACAUGCUUAAAUAAUUUGGUUUUAAGUUUAGUUCUAUAAUAUUAUUAGGUUUUGGGUUCCAAAUAUUUGGUUAAAUUAUAAUGUUAUGGUUUAUUGCAUGAAUUAUGGGAUAUGCCAACUAUUAUGAUUUUGUUUUUAAGAUUUAUUGGCUUGAAAAUAUUUUCAAGUAUUCAUGCGAAUCUAUAUUUAAUCAUAAAUACAACUUUAGAAUUACAUGGUAUAUUUCUAUUUGAUUAUGAAUACAUAUAUAUAUGCGUGAAUUGUUUUGGUGUUUUUGUCUAUGCCAAAAUUAUGAAUACAUGUGCUUGUUAAUUAUUUGGCUUUAAACCACUACAUUAUUUCUGUUUGGUUUUGAUAUAUAUGGUUUUGGAACAAAAAAAAAAACACAAUCAAAUAUUAAGGUUUUUAGGUUUUUUAUUACAUUAUUAAGACGACCUUAUUUUGGGUUAUUUCAGAGUCUAUAAAGCAAUAAAUAAAAUAUUUUUGACCUUUAACUAUUGGGCAAAUUUUAAAUUUGAAUAUUAGUAUGUUUAUAUAUUUUUUAAAAUAACUUAAUUAAAGCAAUAAGUCACCAAAGUAAUUUUUUUUUAUAAUUUAUUUUUUAAAACUAUAAAAGGUUGUGUGCAUGUAACUUAUGUUAAUAUUGAUCGGCCUAAAUGAAGGUUAAUAAUAUUACAUGUGCCACUAUGGUAAUAAAGAUGUGACAAUUAUUCGGUUUUACAUGUGAGCAAUAAAUUGGCCCAAAGGAAGAUUUAUGGUUCGGCAUGUUCUUAUUGUCAAUGUUUGAUUAUUACACCAAUAUAUCACUUACAAAUUAAUAUUUUGUCCAAAGAUGAAAUAUUAAUAGAGUGUACGAUAUCUUGAUAUGAGGUUUAAAUUUAAAGUAUUAUGUAAGCUUAUUUUAAUUUAUUCAACUAUAAUUAUAUUUGCCAGUAUGUUGUUUUGGGAUAAAUAUAUAUCCAUAUAUAUACUAUUAUCUUUUAAUUUGAUUGAAAGAUGAAAUUAAGAGAAAUAUUUUGAAACAAAUAAAUUCAGAUUUUGACUUUAGGUUUUAAUUAAGGAUGUUUAAUAUUUUAAGUAGAUUAGUUGAAACAAAAUGCUGCCAAAGUGACCUCUUUUGUGUAGAUUAGUUUAUUUAAAAUAUCAAGAUGAUUAUAUGUUUUUGUGAUUCAUGCGUUUAUUAAUUGAACCAAAGGUAAGUUAACAUUUGGCGAAAUUUCAACAACAUCUGUGGUGAUAAAUGUGUGACAAUUAUAAGGUAAUUUAUGUGAACAAUAAGUUAGUCCAAAGAUUAAUUCAUUGUUUGACAAAAUUUAUUGUCAAUGUUUAAUUGUUGCAACAAGAGUACCGUUUACUGUUAAUAUUAUUGUCCAAAGACUUUAUAUUAAUGUUGUGUUUGGUAUCUUGAGAUGGGGUUAGUCAUUAUUUUGAAUUUAUUGUUUACUUAUGAAUAUUGAUGUGAGCUUAUUUUUAUUUAUUUAUUAUUCUAUAUUCAACUAAUUAAUCUUCUACUGCCACAAUAUCUGCUAAUAUAAAUUCUAUACUCAUACUUAAUGUGACUAAUUUCAAUGAAUGGAAAAGACACUUACCUAUAGUGCUUGACUAUAUGAACAUAGAACAUUGCACUAAGGGAAGAACAACCCCCACCUCUCACUACGGGAAACACCCCUUAUGUUAAAAGGAAUUUUGAGAGGUGGAUCGUUCAAAUUGCAUGAGUCUAAUGAUCAUGAAGCACAACAUUUCAGAAGCCUUUAGGGGCAUAGAAUCUGAAAAGAUUACUCAGGCAAAAGUUUCCUUGACAAAAUUGAAAAACGUUUUGCUAAAAACGAUAAGGUUGAAAUGACAUCACUUCUGACUUUUUUGAUGUCUACAAAGUAUAAGGGUCAAGGAAAUUCUGAGCGAUUUAAAGGCUAUGAGUUUUAUGAUCCCACAAUUAGGAAUAUUUUUUAGAUGAGAAUUGUAACAUUAUUUUAGGAUGUUGAGUUUGGAGGGAGAAAUAAGGUUAGAGAUAUUGCUUUUAAGGAGGAAUUGAAUUCUAACUCAAUUUCUACUAUCACUUUUGACGAUGUUUAGGUUCUCAUACCUAUCAUUGAUUAAGAAGUGAAUCCAGAACCUCAGUAAGACAAUGUUGAACAAAUCUCUAUUCAAGAUGAGUUAAUUGUUCUAGAAUAACAAACUCAACAACCUCAAUAAUGAAUGUCAUUAAAAAGGUUCACUAGAGAAAGUGUUAUACUGGCUUUAGUGGAACAUUUUGACCUUAAGCUACAUUAGAUGAAUAUUAAGUUAAUGGUUUCUCAAUGGUAACAUUGAUCAUACAUUUAUAUGGUGCAAUUAGAAAACUUUGUGUUUGAUGAUGCAAAGGUAAUGAUUUGCAAAUUAAAUAACUUCAUAUAUGGGAUUAAGUAGACUUCUCGUUUAUAAUAUUACAAAUUUUACUAAAUGAUUAUCUCAUUCAGUUUAGAGAUGAAUUUUGUUGAUAAUCGUAUAUACCAUAAGUUUAGUAGGAGUAAGCUUCAAUAUUUGGUUUUAUAUGUUAAUGACAUACUGCUUGUCAAUAAUAAGUAUAGCCUUAAUCAAUGCCCUAAGAAUGAUUUUGACAUUACAAAAAUGCAUAAGAUUUUUUACAUUUUAGUAGUGGAAAGUCUAAUGUAUACAUUGGAAUAUUGUUUACACUGUUGGGAUGUUAGACAGAUUUUUAAGCAAACCUAGUUUGGACAAUUAGAUAGCAUCAAAGAGGGUUAUGAGGUAUUUUCAGAGAACAAAAGAUUACAUGUUCACAUAUCAAAUGUCUAAUCAGUUAGAGAUCAUCAGGUAUACAGACACCAAUUUUGAUGGAAUAUGGAUAUAAUAUCUUGUCACUAAGGUGCAAAUUGUGAAAACAAAUUGCAAUCUUUUAUUCCAAUAGCAACAGGAGUACAUCAAAGUCAAAACAAAUAGACUUUAAGUUCCUGGUUAUUAAAGUAAAGUUCAGAGUGGUUAGGUGCCUAUAAAGCAUAUUAGAACAAUCUCCAUGAUUGUGGAUCCGCUUACUAAUGGGCUAUACCUAAGGUUUUAUAAGAGCACACUGCUUAUAUGGGCGUAAUUUCAUUUAAGGAUAUUUGGUUUUAGUGGGAGUUUGUACUUUUAAAUACUUUUAUUUUAUAGACACAUUUUCAGUUAUUUCAAUUUAUGGAUAUUAAGUUUAUUUUCUGUAGAAAUAAAGUUUAUUUGCUUUAUUCACACUCUGAUUUUGGUAAGGUUUGAUCUCACUAAGGUUUAAGAAUGACCAAUUGAAAAUAGACAUGUUUAGAUCAUAUUGCAUAUAAUUUUUCAUGCUACACAUCCAUACUUGAUCAAUGUCAUUUGGUUGUGUUAAUAUACAUGAUCAAGAUGGAUUUAGUUACAAUAUAUGUAACGAAAGUCGCAUUGGUUUUAUGUUAACAUAAUUAAUGGACGAGAUUGUUUAGAAUACAUUUUGGAUAUGAUAGUAAAAUUUUUUAGCUCAUAAGGUCAUAUAAUAACAUGUAAUUAUAGAAUAAUUAGUAUAUAUAUGUGGUCCAAGUGGGAGAUUGUUGGAAACUAUGGACAUCACAUAUAUAUAAUAAGGGUAAUUAUAUGUUAUUAUUUACUAUCAUAAUAGGUUAACCCAAAUUAAAGGUGAUCUAAUUUGGUUAAGGGUUAUCGGGAUUUAAUUAUUAAAUAAAGUAUGACUCAAACAUGUGUAGAUACUCUAGUAAUUGAGUUCUAAUUAAUUUUGAAUUAAUGAUAGACUAAUUAGGAAUAAGGACUAAUAUGCCAAAGUUAUAUAUAUUAGGGUUGUGGUCUCCAAAUUACAAACAAGAUAUCUUUUUUAAUAUCCCAUCCUUAAGAAAGAGAGAGAAAAUAUUCUCUUAUUCUUGUGUGCUAAUUUGGAAGAUCAAAUCCCUAAAAUCCAUAGAUUUCAAGAAAAUUCAUGGAUUCAGGUACGCUUCCGUAUCUAGUUUUAUUGUUGAUUUAUUCGUAAUGAUUUGACAUGAUACAUCCUAGCUUGCAAUUUAUUAAGUUUUAUUUUAGAUUUAUUUUACAAAUUUAACAUUCAAUGCAAAACUUCCUGAGGAAAACCAUGCCAAGUCCAAACAAGACUUGAUAGUUAUUGUUUUAAGCUGAGGGAAUAUAAUCUUCAUUUUAGUCGAUUUGUCAUCUCUGAUGAUUUCUUCAAUUACUUUGCAAUUUUUUACUUUUAUCUGUUGCAGCUGCACAAGAUCUGCAGCCAUGGAAGCUGUUAACAUGUAUCUCAAGUUGUUAUAGUCAUACACUUUGUUUGUGUAAAGAACAAAUGAAAGACAAAAAACAGCUUGUGGCUUCUGCAACAAGGCUCGAUACUUGCGGAAGAAACAACCGAAUUUGAGAGACAAAAGAAAGAACAAAAACAAGAUAAAAUAGAGAGUAUGUGGAAGAAAACAAACUGAUUUCAUUCAACUUUGAAAAAUGGCAUAAUGCCAAGACAUAAACCAAGCACUAAGCUUGUCAAAAAAAAAAACAGUAAGUGAUCACCUAAUCAACACCUACUACCACUAAUACAUUGAAACUUGCAAAACAAAGCUUGUACACAUAGACAAAUCUGAGUUAACAGCUCAUUCACUAUCAAAUUACAUCAAUCCUUAACCUAACAUAGUUCAAAAUGAACUAGAUUACAUUACAUCAUUCUAAGCUUACAAAAUGAACAGCUGCAUUAGCUUCAGCAGCUCCUGCAUGGCCCGAUCUUUAUGGUCUGCUUCUUGAUUGCUUUGUUACAUGCUGACCAAACUUCAACACCCCUCCUUGGUUAGCAUGUUACAAACUCCUAGUCUUUUACUCAAAUGCUCGAAUCUUGUUACACAAAGAGGCUUGGUGAAAAUGUCAGCAAGUUGAUCCUCUGAAUUGCAAUAGACUAGUUUCACUUCCUGAGCUUGCUCCAUUUCUUUAACAACAUGGAGUUUAAUACUGAAAUGUUUUUUUCUUCCAUGGAACACUGGAUUUUUUACAAAUGCAACAGCAGAUUGAUAGUCACAAGAGAUCUUUAUUGCUUCCCUGUGAUGCACAUUCAAGUCAACCAUAAUUUUUCUUAGCCAAAUGGCUUGGUUGACAGCGCUUACACUUACAACAUAUUCGGCUUCAGCAGUGGAUUGAGCAACUAGUGUUUGCCUCUUCGAGCUCCAACUAAACAUCGCUGAACCAAGAUUGAAAGCAUACCCAGAGGUGUUUUUCAUGUCAUCCAUCGAACCAUCCCAGUCACUGUCAGUUUAGCCAACCAACUUCAGGCUUUUAGCUUUGCUGUACAUCAAUCCAUGGCUUAAUGUACCCUUGACAUACCUGAGCACUCUUUUUCCAGCUUGAAGGUGCUUCUCAUUGCUACAAUGAAAUAACCUUGAGAGCAAACUUAUAGCAAACAUAAUAUCAAUUCUAGUGGCUGUUAAAUACAGCAAACAACCAACUAAACUUCUGUAGGUUGUUUCACAAACCCUUUCAAAAUUACCAUGGCUCGAUAACUUUUCUCCAACAACAACUGGAGUAUUUUUGCUUUGCUAUUUUGCAUUGAGAACUUGAUCAAAAUCUUGGAAGCAAAAGCUCUCUGAAUUAGGAAUAUCCCAUGGUGUGUUUGUGUCACUUCCAUGCCAAAGAAAUAGCUCAUCCUUAUCAGACAUCUCAAACAUCUGCUGCAUUUUGGUUUUGAAAUCAGUCAGCAUUGUUUGGUCUCCUCCUGUCACUAGCAGGUCAUGAACAUACAAGGAUACAAUGAGCUAAGUUUGUGCCCCUUCCUUCUUGACAUACAAGGUUGGCUCGCUCUUGCUUCUUUCAAAUCCCAAACUGACCAGGUAGCCAUCGAUCCUGCUAUACCAGGCUUUUGGAGCUUGUUUCAGGCCAUACAAGGUUUUAUUUAGUUUGUAGACCAUAUGUUAUUUACCAGCUACUUCAAAACCCCGUGGUUGUUUAACAUAAAUUUCUUCCUCAAGAAAUCCAAUGAGGAAGGCUGACUUCACAUCAAUUUGGUGGAUUUUCCACUGCAUUUGUGCUAUUAAGGCAAUCAACAGUCUGAUGGUGUCUAGCCUGACCACUAGUGCAAAGGUCUCAUCAGUAUUGUGCUUGGCUCGAUAGACCCAUUUCACCCCAAUGAUCUUCUUUUUGACUGGGCUUUCAACCAGUUUCCAAGUCUGAUUCUUCUCAAUCAUGUUGAUUUCAUCAGCUUGCUUCCACACUUGUUGAGCUUCAGCCUCUUUUAAACAGCUUGGUUCAGCUAUGGCUACUUGAGCUCUUUCAUAAAUCUCAGCCAAUGGUCUAGUACCCCUAACUGGUUCAUCACCAAUGUCCAUUUUAGGACUAUUUUGAUCUAGCUCAGUUUGGUCUGUUACAAGAUCUUCAGAAACUUCCUGUGGCUCAUUCUUUUCCCAAUUCCAGCAUGACUUCUCAUCAAACACCACAUCUCUGCUUACAGACACUUUGCUUGUUGAAGGAUCCAAGAUCACAUAACCCUUUUUGACUGUGUUGUAGCCUACCAAAAUACCAGGUCGAGCUCUUUUAACCAGUUUAUCCCUUUUAAUAGCAGGCACAUGUGCACAGCAGAUACAACAAAAGACCUUUAGGUGAGCCAAUGAUGGUUUGAAUCCAAAUCAGGCCUCAAAAGGAGUUUUGUGAUCCAAGGCCUUGGUAGGAAGCCUAUUUUGGAUAUACACAGCAGUGUUAACUGUCUCAGCCCACAAGGUUUUAGGCAAAUUCUUCUCAAACAGUAGGCAUCUAGCCAUAUCCAUCAAGCUCCUGUUCUUCCUUUCACUUACACCAUUUUGUUGAGGAGUAUAGGUGUUGGUAAGCUGGUGUUUGAUGCCUGCCUUAUCAAAAAAUGCCUGGAACUGAGCUGAGGUGUACUCAGUCCCAUUGUCAGACCUUAUGGUCUUGAGCUUGCAAUCUGUUUCAGUUUCAGCAGCAAUCUUGAACUUUGAAAACACUAAGCCUAACUCUAAUUUCUGUUUCAAGAAAUAAAUCCAGUAAAAUCUUGAAAAAUCAUCAAUAAACAGAAUGAAGUACCUGCUUCCAUUUAGUGACUUGGUCUUCAUAGGGCCACACGCAUCAGUUGCACGAGCUGCAGCCUUUCAGAGGCUCUCCAUACCUGAUUUGAAGGAAAUGGGAGCCUAGCUUGCUUUCCUAGCUGGCAUACUUCACAAACCUUCUAUUUUUCAAAUGAACCAAUGAAGUUUUCAGCCAAGUCUUCUCUGGAUAGCUGAUCUAUUGAUCUGUAGUUGGCAUAACCAAGUCUUUGAUGCCAAAGCUUGGAUUUAUCAAUUGUGGCUGUAUAGGCAGUGUCUGAGCCAUUUGUCCAAUCAACAACAAAGCUCUUAUCAACCAUAGUGACUGCCAUGAACUUGGAUCCACUUGGAUUACUGAUUUGGCACUCCUUGCCCUUGAACACUACAAAAUACCCUUUCUCUAGCAGCUGAGCUAUGCUAAGCAGGUUUCUAUCAAUUUCAGGUACCAACAACGUAUUCGAGAUGAGCUUGUUACCUAUAGGAGUGCAUAUCAACACAUCUCCUUUACCUUCUGCCUUUAUAAAAUGACCAUUACCAAUCUUAACUUUGGUUUUGUAGCUUCUGUCUAAUAACUUAAAAUUGGAAGCAUCUGGUGUCGUGUGGUUUGUGCAACCACUGUCCAAAAGCCAGCCAUUUGCAAGCUUCUCCUGAGCAGCUGAGCAUGGCACAACAAAAACUUGCUCCUCACAGUCGCUAUCUUCUUUUACUACUCAAGCCUCAGCCUUUGGCUACUGAGGUUGGUUCUGCCUUGACUUGCCCUUGCUUUUGCAGACCUUUUCAACAUGCCCCAUCUUUUUGCAAUAUUGGCAUUGCACAUCUAGUGUAAACCAGCAAUUUGCUUCUGAAUGACCAGGUCUUUUGCAAUGCCUGCAGGGUUGGUCCCUUCUUCUUGCAGCAUCAAACUUUGGUUUGUCUUUCCAAGUCUUUUUGCUUUAUAGGCAGUAUUAUUCAAGUUAGGUUUGGUUUUUACUUGAAAGGCACCUUCUUGGUGCUCCUCCAAUCUGCUAGCUCUUCUCUGCUCUUGUGCAUAGAGAGCAUUGAUCAACUAUAUCAGUGAGAUGCUGGUCAGGUCCCUUGAAUCUUCAAGGGACGAAAUUUUUGCCUCGUACCUCUCAGGUAAAGUUGAAACCACCUUCUCCACUAUCCUUGCUUAUUGAAUUGCUCACCAAGGAGCCUUAUGUUGUUUACCACAGUCAUAAUCCUGUCUGAGUACUGUUUGAUAGUUUCUUUUCCUUUAUUUUCAAAUUCUCGAAGUCCCUUAUCAGAUUCAACAACUGUUGCUGCCUUUUCCUCUUUGUCCCUUGAAACUCUUGUUUUAAUUUGUCCCAGGCCUAUUUUGGUGUCUCACAAGCCAUGAUCCUUGUAAAGAUGACACCUGACACUGAGUUCUGGAUGAAAAACAUGGCCUUGUGCCUCUUAGUCCUUUCAUCAACAUGCUGCUUGAUCUGAGCCAUUAUUGGAUUGGCUCUAAAUAGCUCUAGUUCAACGUCUGAGUUAACCACCUCCCACAGAUCGAAUGCCCGAAGAUAGGUUUUUAUUUUGAGUUUUUAAAACUAUGCCUCUAGAACUGAAUGAAGAUAAGAUAUAUAUGCAAUGUAAUAUUAGUACCUUUCCAUCAAAAAAGUAGUCAAGAUCGUGUAUUCACCGGUUCCAGUUGAUAAAUGGAACGGCUCUUCUCUUUGGAGCAGAAACUACGAAGCUCUGGUAAAAGCUGUAGUGUUAAGGAUCGCAAUUGGCCAAACUCAAUUUUAUUGGAUUCUAUAUCAGCAUUCUGCUCUCUCUCUCCAGUAACAAUCUCUUUAAUGCUUUUGCACUUUGAAACUUUAAUUUCUUGAAGCUGGACAAGGAUUUUUGUUAUGGAGAAGGAAAACGAUUCUUGAGUCAAUUACAGCAUUCGACACUUGUGAUUUUCAAUCUCUUGGAACAUUCUUCUUCAAGUUUUCCUUGACAAAUCUUCUCCAAAUGAACCAAUGAUUCGAGGAUAGAAAAGGCUUUACAUGAUGCCACCUCCAUAGAGUCAAAAAUAAACUGUAAUUCUGAACCAUUUUGUAUGUAGAGAUUCUUGAGCUGUGGAAAACCAGUGCCAUCCAACUCAUACAGCAAGUUCUUGAUGCCUUGCAUUUCAUCUAGAUAUAGAUCUUCAAUUUUCUGCAACAACAGUUUAACUCCAUGAUCCAAGUGAAUUCCCUUAGUAAGCUAGAGUUUCAGUGUCUCUCAUUUUCAUACUUUUUGGACCAGUCCCAGACCUCCCCGAUAAGAAUCUUGUAUCGAUUCAAUUUUUCAGAGAAUAGUUCUGCUGGCAUAAGUUGAAUAGAAUGAAUAUGGACAUCCAAAGAAAUUAGACCAGACAAAGACUUCAAUUCAUGAUGUGUCUUCAUGUUACUAACUAAAUAUACGACUAAUGCAAGUGCACUUAUCUAUAAUAGUAUAGUUAACGUGAGUUGAGAUAUCGUAUCCACGAGGACUAAAAAUAUUAAUCCUGGAGCUAUUAAGCACAUUAAACAUGAAUUAGUUCAUAAUAUUGAAUUAAGCACAUUAAACAUGAAUUAAUAACUGGAAAUAUUAAAAUAAGAAAUAAAUAUACAUAAAUCAAGUAUUUAUCGAGUAAAAUAGAAAUUACAUAAUAUAAUGUAUCAUAGGUUUCAUCUUCCCUAGGUAUCUAAAGAAUUAGUAAUGAAAACAUCUUAAAGUCAUAAAAACCACAAUAAAUAAAGAAACUCAUAAAAAUUUCAAAAGAAAUUAAAAGGAGGUCUUCGAUCUUGAUGGAAAUUUGAUUCCGAGUUGGCUUCAAUGGUGUUCUUCAAGUUGUUUCUUCUAUCUUCUCUGAUGGCUCCUAUAUCUCUUAUUCUAUUUGGUAAUUAUAGACUUUAGAAUGCUCAAAAAGCCUAAAAAUUGUGUUUUUCUGCGUGUUUGGGAAGCAGGUUGCGAAAUCGACAAGGGCUGGCACAUGGGCGUGUGUCCAGCCUGUGUGGCUCCUGAAAUUUUCUCUUUUUCUCUGACUUUCACUCAUUUUGCUCCCAAAUGCUCACCUAAGUAUAAGAACAUGAAUUAAAAGGAUUAUAAGCAUCAAAUUCACCAAUUUUUAUAAAUAAUCAUCCAAAAACGCAUUAAGAAUGAGAUUAAAAUAUGUUAGUUUUAUCAUUUAUCAAUAUCCCCACACUUAAGCGUUUGCUUGUCCUCAACCAAAAUCCUUAACUCACAUUAAAAUUAAUCUUUCUCAACUUAUAAUUCCCAUCAAUAAUGUUAUGAUUCGCAAAUAAUCAUGUAUUGACAAUUCAACUAAAAGGGCACUUAAAGAUUCAAACAAUCCAAGUCGAAAUUUUUAAAGCAUGAAAACAUAGGUAUUUCCCCUUAUCUAUGUAAUUACCUUUAAUUCAAAAUCGACAAGAAUUGACAUCCCCACUAAAGAUCCACUCAAAUCAUUCAAAAUGUUUAAGGUUCAAGAAUAAGCACUCAAUAGUCAAAUAAGAAAUGUCAUUACCAUAAGCUUGCUUGAAAAUCAAAUCUCCACCACUAUAAAUUGAUAGGACACACUAAUCAAAAGUUUUUUAAGAGGUUCUAAUGGGGCUUAGGUUACGGGUGCGGAGAAAGGCCAGAAAAGUUUGUUAUAAUCGAGAUCAAGUUGAUAAAUUAUCAAACUAGAAAAAAAUAAAUGUUGAAUUAAAAACAAAUGCAUCAAUCAAGAAUAUUCAAAAACAAAAACGAGAUUCUUCUCAAAAAAAUGAAUUUAACUGUUCAAACUCAAUCAACAAAUAACUAGUUAAUAAUUAAUAUUUUUUUCAACUUUUUUUUUCUUUUUCUUUCAAGAACAAUAAGAAAUAAGUCAACAAAUCAAACAGAAGAGCAUAGCUAGGCAACUAACCAAAUCAAAUCUCAACAAAAAAAGAAGUUAAUAAAACAGGAAAAAGUCACAGCAAACGAAAAAAUGGGUUAUAGGUUAAUAUUAACGGGUCAUUCAAGAAAAGGUGUGUUAGGCUCAACGGGGUUCACUAAUGAGUUAAUUAAAAAGGUAGACUUUUUUAUGGGAUAAGUGGGUUAAAACCUAAGUGCUUUUAUUAUCUCAGUAUAUCAAAUCAAAGAUGUGGUCUUGACAUGCAUAAUUGAAGCAAGUUCUAGAAUAACAAAUCAAGUUGACACGCUCAUAACCAAUAAUAUAUUGUACAUGUAAAAUGUAUGCUCUGAAGGCUCAAAAUCUCACAAAAAAUCAUGGUUUUGAUGUCAAACUUGCAAAUUUAAAACUUCAAGAUAAUACCUCAAUUCAGGGAAACAACCUAAAAUUUUUAAUUCUAAAAAAUAACUUAUUAUGAUUGAUUCUUUCAUGUCUUAAAUUUAAAUCAACUAAUGCACAAAUAUCUACAAAUUAAUCCAAAAAAAAUCAACAAAAAUCACAAAUCGACAAAAUUUCAUUCUAAUUCAAGUAUGAGAAAUUUACUUAAAUACAAUAAAUAAUUUAGGGAUUUUUAAUAAUUAUCUAAAUAACCUCCCCACAUUUAAGAUGUACAUUGUCCUCAAUGUACAAACAAAUAUAAGCAUAGUAUAAACAGAAUAUCAUAAGAGAGGAAGAAAACUGAAACUGCCCUAAAUAUUGGAUGAAAUCGUCAAAAUGGUGAAAAUCAAAAUUAUAGGCAAAUCUAAAUGUAGUGCAUGAUUCUGAAAAACUAAUAAGAAAAUAAACACAAAUAAUGAAAAAUAUUAAGAGGUUACAAACUCGAUUAGAAACAACCAUAAAAAUAAAAAUAAAAAAAUAGUUCAAAAGAUAAUAAACGAAAUAAGUCUAAGAAAAUAAAAAUAAAACAACUAAAAGCUCAAAAUUUGAUGUGGUCGUUGAAAGCACCAAAAAUAUCCUAUCCCUAAUAAAUAAUGAAAAAGAAUAAUAAAAGGGAAGUAGGGUCAAAUCCUCAGGGACUGGACUUGCAAAAUAUCUUGUUUCGUGAAAUCCCAAGCAGAGUCUUGCCCAAGACAACUUGCGUUCCUGAAAAAAAAACAAUAGCAGAAUUAAAUUAUUGGAUCUAGAAACGAAAAAUAAAUUAAAAACAGAAUUAAGAAUAUUGAAUUAAAAAAUUCGAGAAAUUAAAAAUAGAGUUAAGAGAAAGAAAAUUCUUAUGGGAGAUUCCAGCCUCUAGUUGUCUCGUUCCGCCUUGGGUUCAAUCCUCGGCUUUUAGAUGAUCCUUCCCAAAUCGAAUAAGCCAGUUAUAGUGGAAGAGGAUGCCUACGACCACCAGCUCCAAGGAUUUAGACUUACAAUUUAGUGGAACCUGACUCUAGCCAACAAUCGCUUCUGUGGGAUCGUCUUAUGCUAGAUCAACGCUUCUCAAUGGCGAAUCCCAUGCCAUUUUGUCUCUUGGGCUCGCCAACCUCUGACGCAGUAAGCUAACGAACCGACUGUGCAACCUUCCCAAAACAUACAAAGUGGCCGUCUUUGCAUACGUUGAAAAACUUACUUCUUAAGGGGCUUGGACGGAAGCGUCAGCCCCGUAGUAUGGAGAAACAAUGAAUACUCAGCGAGGAGGCUAAGUACGGAUUCUAAGCCUUAUGAACCCUUUUGGGGAUUUUUGACAACUUUCGGCUAGAUGGGUUUAGUGGCUCAUGGUUGUGGUAGAAAAUAAAAUAAAUAAAAUAAAAAUAAAGAUUUUAUUAAAAGGAAAUAUGAAAAGAACAAAAGCCUAAACUUUUGGGGAGAGAGUGUUUACAGAAAAAGAAAAGAUGAUAUCCUUUUGAGUCACUUCACCCCCUAUUUAUAGUGCUAGGGAGAUAGUCUAAUCCUACUUAAAUUCCUAAAAGAUAAAUACAUUUAAUUGAAGAUAAAUAAAGAUAAAAUAAAAUCCUAAAAAUAAUCCUUAAAAUUAUCUCAAUAUUAAUUAUCCUAAUAUAAUUAAAAUAGAGUUUAAUUGAGUAAAAUCUCUUCUUUUUGCAUUUCAACCCUUGUGUCCUCCAUGCUUGCACUUUUGGCACCAACUUUUCCUCGUGUCGCACAUUGGCCCAUUUUAUCUCUAAAGUCACGCUUUUGGCCCUUAAUUUUGCUUUUGCCUUAAAUUUAGUCCCUAUGAGAUAAAAGAUCAUAAAUAGCUCAAAUUAGCAGGAUCAUACUCAGAAUAAAUACAUAAUUAAUACAUAAAAAUACGCUAUUCUAGAGUGUUAUCAAAAGCAAAAAUAAAAAAAUAAAAAAAAUUAAUGGUCUUCGUUGUCAGAGCCAUCGUGAUCAUGAGGCACCAAAUCUAAAGAAGAUAUAUGGAGGUGCUGACAGAUUUACUACAAGGUCGCAUCAAUACUGUUGAACCAUUCAUAGAAGUGUCACUCAAAACGAGUGAAACGCUCGAGGAGAUCCGCUAAGGUGGUAGCGAAAGUAGUAGGAUGGUGACUCUAAGAUGGAGGAUAAGGUGGAUCCUCAUGGUGGAAGGGGACAUCAUCGGUGAAUUUUUCAUGCUCAUCUUGAGGGUCAAAAUGAGAUAACUGGUAUUGAGGAGGAUCAACUCCACAAAGUCACUCGAUCAUCCUCAUGUGACUCAUACUCGAUAAUCCCUGCGAGGCCAUUUUCCCAAUAAGGGUAAAGGAGGAGGACUACUUCAAAGUGUCGUGUGAGUCGAGUCACAUAAAGGCCUAAGUAGAUAGAGCCCUUCCUACUGCGCUCUGUUUGAUGGCACACAACUAGGGCGAUAAAAUAAGUAAGAUCAAAGGUGCGCCUCGUGGCCAUGUUUCAUAGAAAAUAAGCAUUGGUUGUACCGACAACACCAGUGCUCUUCCUCCGACCGGUCAAAGUGUGAGCUAAAAUGACAUGAAUAUAGUGUAAGGCUGGAGGUAAGGAAGCCACCUUCGAUCGACUCGUAUCAUAACACGUUGUACUCGUAGUGAGGUCUGCCCAACAUAGAAAAUGCGAGUAGUGGAUAUGCCAGUGUAAACUGAGAAAGCUCUCGUGACUCAUGAACUCGUCUGUGAAAAGUCCUAAUGCAGCUCCGAACACUGGGACUCUCAUAUGAUGCAUUGUGCCACCGAGUCUGAAGGUGAUAGUUCCCGGCUCAUCGUGUGUCGACAUCACUUGCUGAAAUAGGAAUGUUGAGCAAAAAUCGAGAGUAAGCUUUGAGUAGAUGGGCUCAAUGAUGGAGAAAAAUUGGUCCCAAGGAGCUAUGGCAAUGGUGACGUGCACUCUAUCAGCUAACUGGACCUACUCUAAAGUGGCCCAACCAAUGCAACGACCUAAUCCCAGUGGCCUCUGUCAAAGAUGCUGAUAAAGGUCCUCUUGAGAACCUUGUGCAAAGCGGAGGUAUGGAUGGUGGGAACCGGUGAAAGCGUCCGACGAUGAUGUCGCACCUAGAUUUUUCUGCUUUUUCAAAGCAGGGAUGGCGAAUUUAGAUUUGCCACUUGUGUUGGUCAUUAUGUCCUUAAAAUAAAGGGUAAAAGUAAAAUAUCAGAUAACCAAAAAAAUCAGCAUAAACAAUAUAUCAAAGCAAAAACCUAUUCUAGGCCAAUAAAUAGCACGAUAGAGACCGAAUUGAAGUGAAAACCUAGACCACAAUACUGAACAACUAACCUAAAAAAAUUCACCAACAAUCAAGCAUGAUAAAAAUAAAAAUAAUAUAAUAAUAAAGAUAAAGUGAAAUAAAAACAAUCAAGGCCUAUUAAUAAAAUAACUAAAAAUAGUGAAACAUAAACAAAAUAAACAAAACCAAUAACAAAAAAUGAAAAAUAAUAUAUAUAUAUAAGAAGAAGAAGAAGAAGAAGAAGAAGAUAAAUAAAAAUUAAUGUAUAAAAUCGAAAAAAUAAAAAUAAGAAUGCAAAUAAUAAUCAUAAAAAAAACUAAAGAUAAAAUAAUAAGAAUAUAAAUAAAGAUCAAUAAUAAGCUAAACAUAAUAAUAAAAAUGAUAAUAAAUAAAGAAGUAAAUAAAUAAUAAGGUAAAAGAAUGGACCAAUCAGACUAAGGUUAUACGACAGCGGCAGUAAUGGGCGGCGAUCCACGACGGUAGGCUGAUGAGGGGAUGGUAGGGAAGGAGGGGAAAGGCGGGGUGGUUUUUGGUUUAAAUGAGGGGAAAGGGAAACAAAAAAAAUGGAGGGGUUAGUUGAAGGAAAAGGACUGUCGGUGGUGGGGGUGGAACCGAAGAGAGGAGCAAAUGGCGGGGUGGUUUUGUGGAGGGAAGAAAAGGGAAAGGGGAAGAAGAGAGAAAUGAUGAGGGCGGAUGGGGGUGAGGGAGAGAAGGGGUUUAGUUAGGGGAAGGCUGUGAUAGGAAUGAGGGAAGGGAAGGAAAAAGGGAAGGAUGAGGGAGACAACGACGUGAGAGGGAGCGAACGGGCGUGACGAACGGUGAGGAAAUGGUCAGACUGGUGGGUAGAGAGUCGAACGACGGUUAUGGAGGGUUGUGAGAAGAAGAAAAAGUACAAAGAAAUUAAGGUUGUUUGGGGGGUAAUAAAGGAGACAUAGUCGUGUUUAGACUCGUGUUGGGCAACACGCCCGUGUGGUACUCUUUUAGACUAUGUGUAAUUCAAAAAACUUAAGCCUAGUCUUCACACGGCCUCAGACACGCCCGUGUGUGAUUUCCUUUGCUUCUCCCACGCCUAUGUGAGAGGCCGUAUGGGUCACACGAUCUCAUACACGCCCGUAUGUCCCUACCGUAUCUCGCACAGGAUCAUGUCUCUUGCUCGUGUCACCCGUUGACUUGAAAUUAAAAUUAAAAAAUUAGUUCCAAUACUCACACGCCCAUGUGCCUAAGCCGUUUGUGCCACACGGACGUGUUUUCAAGCCAUGUGGACCACCUCAGGUCAUGUUACAAUUGACUUUUGGAAAAAUUAAGUCUCGGGAUUCACACGGCUAAGGACACCCCUGUUUGUCCAGGCUGUGUGACUCACAUGGCCAUGUUUUUACACUAUGUAACUCUAUCAUUUGCUCCCUUAUGCAUACAUUUUUAAACACACAUUUUUAAAUUUAACUUUAAAUUAGCAUGCAAUAAAAUUAAAAGAAUUAACUGAGGUUAAACACUCGGGUUGCCUCUCGAGAAGCGUUUAUUUAGAGUCUAAGCUUGACUUUACCUUAUGCACGAAUACGAUGGUUCAUAGAGCCGAAGCUCUUAUUUUUCGUUAUCAAUUAUUCUACCAAGAUAAGGUUUGAGUCAAGUACUAUUUACCUUAAAUGUGUCUAACUCAAAAUGAGUUACUUCGACUGUACCAUAUGGGAAGACGUUCAAUACCGUAAAUGGGUUUGAUCCAUUUGCAUCAAGUUCUGAAGAGGCAAUUCAUGGAUCCGUUUUGUCUAGCAGUACUUUAUCCCCAACCUUAAAUUAGUUUGUUCAUUCAUAUGCUCCUCAUGAUGUCGCUUUGGCUCUUCAUCGUGUUUUCUCGAUUUCUUCUUGACAUGUGUUCGCCAUUCAUAUAGUUCAUUGAGUUGCACCAUUCAUUGUUAAUGAGUUGUUCUAUUUUUGUCACCUUUACUGAAACAUGGCUCCAUUACAUUUUCACGAGAGAUUUCCUACAAUGAAGGUUGAGCCACAUGGUUACUCACAUUAACAGAACGUUUCAUACUAUCUCGUUCACUAGAGAUUUUAGCAGAAUCACGUGCUUGGAGAGUAAUCGUUUUGUCACAUACCCGAAGUACUAAUUCACCCAUACCAACAUCAAUAAUAGUCCUGCCAAUGGCUAAAAAGAGGCGACCUAAAAUUAAAGGUAGCUCACUACCCUCAUCCAUGUCCAACAUAACAAAGUCAACGAGGAAUAUGAAUUUAUCUAUUUUAACAAGCACAUCCUCAAUAACACCCCAAUUGUUCUAUCUGCUAAUUGAAUACUCAUCCUAAUGUGUUUAGGUUUCCCAAGACCUAGUUGUUUAAAAAUUUUGUAGGGCAUGACAUUAAUAAUGGCCCCUAAAUCAGCUAAGGCAUUAUUAUUUAAACUACCAGUGAGACAAGGAAUAGUAAAACUCUCUGGAUCUUUGAAUUUGUUGGGUAGUUUAUUUUGUAAUAUGGCCAAGCAAACUGCAUUGAGCUCUAGCAUCGACGAGUCAUCUAACUUCCUUUUGUUUGCCAAAAGCUACUUUAAAAAUAUGACGUAAUUUGGCAUCUGCGAAAGAACUUCAACAAACAGUAAGUUAAUAUGUAAUUUCUUUAAGAGCUUGAGGAAUUUACCGUAUUGUUCAUUCGUGAGGUCUCUCUUUGACGCCUUAGGAUAUGGCACUCAAGGUUUAUAUUCCUUGACAAUCAGCUUUUUCUCUUUCCUAUCUUCCACAGCAUUAUCGUUAUACACCACAAUUUCUUGCCUUAGUUCUUGUUCAGAUUCAACUAACCCUUCUUUUUCUCGAAUAGUAAUUGCAUGAAUCUGCUCCUUUGUGUUAGUUUCAGUAUUGCUAGGCAAGCUACCUUGUGGUUGUUCUAAGAUUAGUUUAGCAAGCUGACUUAUUUGGUUGUUGGAAGCCUGGAGGGGGUUAUGCUCUUUGAAUUCCUUGACCACCCUAAGUGAAAUUGGGAUAUUUCCUCCAACCUGCAUUAUAUUUGUUACUAUAAGGGUUAUUUUGAGGUCUAAAAUUAUUACUCAUAUAAUUGAUUUGCUCGUUCUCUAUGCUAGGACCGAAGGGUAAACAUUCUGGAUUAUUUGUUCCACCUCCAUUUGUAUUGCAUUGCAUCACUAGAUGUACAUGUGUAGAAAGAUAUAAACAAUUAAUUUUCUUAUUUAAUACUUCUAUCUGGUUCGAUAACAUGGUGACUGCAUCUAAAUUAAAAACACCGGCUGCAUUCAGCGGCUUUGUCCUCAUGACUUGCCACUGAUAAUUAUUCAGUGGCAUCUCCUCUAUAAACUCAUAAGCCGCUUCGGGUGUUUUAUUGUUCAAAGUUCCACCGAGUACUACAUCAAUCAACUACCCCAUUAAGGGGUUCAAACCAUUGUAGAAGGUUUGAACUUUUAACCAUAAAGGUAAGCCAUGGUGAGAGCACCGUCUCAAUAGAUCCUUGUAUCUCUCCCAUGCAUCAUAUAUUGUCUCUAAGUCGAUCUGAACAAAGGAAGAUAUGUUAUUCCUCAACUUAGUUGUCUUAGCCGAUGGGAAGUAUUUUAGUAGAAAUUUCUCAGUCAUUUGAGCCCAUGUAGUAAUGGAACCUCGUGGUAAAGAGUUCAACCACUAUUUUGAUUUGUUCCUUAACGAGAAUAGGAACAACCGUAAAUGAAUGGCGUCAUCAGUGGAACCAUUAAUCUUGAAAGUGUCGCAGAUUUCCAAAAAAUUAGCCAAAUGAGUAUUUUGAUCUUUUUCUUUCAAACCAUUGAACUGAAUAUACUGUUGUACCAUCUAAAUUGUAUUCAGCUUCAGUUCAAAAUUAUUUGCAGCAAUGGUGGGUCAAACAAUACUUGAUUCAACACCAGUCAGAGUGGGCUUGCCAUAAUCGUACAUAGUACGAGAAAUAGGCGUGGAACGACGAAAAUGUGCAAGUGUACACAACACAACAAGUAAUAAAGUGACAAGUAAAUGUUAAGCUAUCGUACCCACAGGGACUGUAAAAAAAUUAUUUAUGAAAGUAAGUUUAAACAAUUUGGUGAAAGAAAAAUAUUUGGAUUUGGGAAAUGAUUAAAAACUAGAAACAAAGUAAAUAAAAUAAAAUAAAAUAAAGUUCUAAUGCACGAUUUCAAAAGCUGAUUUUAAUCAAGAUGAUAUAAUUGUGUUAGAUUAAUUACAUUUCAUUACCUUAGAAUCAUUAAACUUAUGCUUAUACUUAUUACUAAUAAAUCAUGGCAACUCGGUAAUUCACUAACUUAUGAACAUAUUUACAAAUAAAAAAUCCAUUCAUCUCUUGUACAUAUUCCUAUGUCAAUUCGACCGAUAAAAUAGAUUUAUAAAGAUAAACAUGUUAUUGCACAUACAUACUUAUUAAAUUAAACAAUCUCUCGCAUAUUCCUAUGUUGAUUCAAAUGAUUAAUUCAACCAAAUAAGCAUAUAAAAGACUAUGUGAGGUAACAAAGUAUCCUUACCUUGAAACAGUUUAAUCACAAUAAUCUUGCAAGUUAUGCAAGGCAUAAGUAUCGCGAAAUACAAUGCUAAUCUAAUCUUCAGCUACCUUAGAAGAAUUAAACAUGCACUGAUUAAGUACUGUGUCCAUUAAUUACAAUUUCAAUGUAUUUAAAUAAUAAAAUCUUUAGUUAUCUUACAAUUGUAAUGCAAAAAUAACUUAAUCAUGGUUUUACUUAGUCAAACAUUUUACCGAGGCCUAUAACAGUAUAAACAUAAAUUUAACAAAUCAAGAGGACAGAACGCAAUCAACCCAACACGAAUUAAAUUCAAGCUAAGCUGAUUAAACUAAUCAUUCUAAUAGCAUAAAUAUUCAUAGAUUUGUUCAUCAUAAAACCAACAAAAAUUAAAGAGAUAAUGAACAGGAAUCAAAUCUGGUGGUUUUCCGUGGCUUGACUAGGUUGCUCCGUUCUUCCUUCUUUGUUGUCCUCGCCAGUCAAGGCUGCUAUGAACACUCAAUUGCUACUCCAAAAUGGAUGAAGAAGACCCCUUUCCCAAGAGGAGAAAUCGGCACAAGAGCAAGGAACUUUGAAUGGGAAAAUGAGAGAUAAAAGUGAGAGAGGAGAGAAGAGUUGUGAGAGAAGAGAUGUGAAUAAGGGAUGAUUUGAAUGGGAAGCAAAAAUAGAAAAUUUUAGUAGCGAAAGAGCCCCCUCAUGGCCGGCCAUUCUACAUGGAAAAGUUGAGACUUUCAACUUUGCUAAAAUUAGCCUGGGGCAAAUCCUUAAAGCCUUAAUUUAAUGUGAGGUUUAAAUGCAAUUUGGAAGUCUUCCAAGGGCCUUUUUGUAGCUCAUUUAAUCAACUAAAAAUGCUAAUUUGGGUCAGCAUUUGAAUGAUUUUGGGCUGCCCAAUUGGUGGCUGGUUCGGUUUGCUCAAUUUGGUUCAACUAGUACGGUUCAACUAGGCCCUAUUUUCCAUAAUUAAUUAAAAUUAAUUUAUUUAGCCCAAAUUAAAUUGGGAAUAAAUUAAAAUUAAUUAUAUUAUGAAUUAAUACACAUAUUUGGACUGUCUUAGGUUUGAUAUUAUUUUUCCUUGUUACUUCGAAUUGCUUCUCGAUUUUGUUCUUCUAACGGUGUCUACCGGGUCAAUUUUCACCUUUUGUACGAAUCAGUCAAAAAUAAUCAAAAUUCACUAAAAAUAAUUGUAAAAUUGACUAAAAAUUAACAUGUUAAAGUUUUUAAUACAAUUUAAUUAUUUUAUAAAAAUUAAUUAUUUUAUGACAAAAAUUUUAUCGAAAAUGCAUGAUUUUAAGUAAAAUUAGGUAUGAAAAAGUAUAUAAAUCUUUGUGUUUCCAAGGAGCAGGAGCUGCAGCAACUACAUGAGGUAGGUGAAUAUUCUGAUUAUCACCUAUCUCCUCAGUAAUAAUAAUAUCCUCUUAUUCGCCUACUAAAUUCUGUCAACUCUGCCUUAUUUUUCUACGAUUUUUGUGAGCUAUACUUUCAAUUUCGUUGUCGAAAAGCAAAGGUCCCAACAGGUUUCUUCUAGUCAUAAACCAAGAGAACCUGCCAAAAGUAAAUGAAAUAAAAAAAGUAGAAUGUAAAAAUUAAACUAAAACAUGAAUAUCAAAUAAAAUAAAAUAAUGGCUAAUUAAUAAAAUUAAAUUGUUCCUAAUAUUUUAGUCCCCGGCAAUGGUGCCAAAAACUUGAUGUGUCUUCAUGUUACUAACUAAAUAUACGACUAGGGCAAGUGCACCUAUCGAUAAUAGUAUAGAUACGAUGAGGUGAGAUAUCGUAUCCACGAGGACUAAAAGUAUUAGUAAUUAACAUUUUCUUAUUACUUAGCCGACAAAUUGGAGUGAUGUGUUUAAAACUAAAUUUACAAAACUAAUUUAACUAAUAACUCAACAAAGAAUGAAUAAGGAAAAUAAUCGAAUGAUAACUAAUGAGAGAGACAAUACCCAUGAAAGAAUUCACCUAGACUUCACCUAUUAUUAUGAAUCUGAAUUAAACGAUUUAUUCACUUAGUGUCUUGAUCUGUAGAAAUCCCUAAAUUAUGCUAAUAUCUCUUCGAAAGUAAGAGCAAUUGACUCUAGGUUGAUUAAUUGAAAUCUCUUUCUAAUUAAAACCCCUAUAAUCGAAUUAACUCAAUUUAUGAAUUCCAUUAUUAGAUUUGACUCUAAUCCAGUAGAUUUAUGUCAUCUUAUUUUAGGAUUGCAUGCAACUCCACUCAAUUAUGCUAGAUCUACUCUUAAACAAAGACUUUUCCUCCACUGAAUUAUUCAUAUUAAACAUGAAUUAAUAUCCAAAAAAUAUUAAAACAAGAAAUAAACACACAUUAUUGAGAACAAGAAUCAAGUAUUUAUCACGUAAAACAGAUAUUAAAUAAUAGAAUUCAUCAUAAGUUUUAUCUUCCCUAGGUAUCUAGGGAAUUAGUUCAUAAUCCUGAAUAAAAAUAUAUCAAAGUCAGAAAAACUAGAAGAAAGAAAGAAACUCAUAAAAACAUCAAAAGAAAUUAAAAUGGCGUCUUCGAUCUUAACAAAAAUCUACUCUGAGUUGGCUCCAAUUGUGUUCUUCGAGUUGUUUCUUCGAUCUUCUCUGAUGGCUCCCAUAUCUCUUAUUCAAUUUGGUAUUUACAGAAUUUAGAAUGCUCAAAAGCCUAAAAAAUGUGUUUUUCAGCGUGUUUGGGAAGCAUGUUGCAAAAUCAACAUGGGCUGGCACUUGGGCGUGUGUCCAGCCCUUGUGGCUCCUGAAAUUUUCUCUUUCUCUCGACUUUCGCUCAUUUUGCUCCCAAAUGCUCACCUAAGUAUAAGGACAUGAAUUAAAAUGAUUUGAAGCAUCAAAUUCACUAGUUUUCGUAAAUAAUCAUCCAAAAACGCAUUAAGAUUAAGAUUAAAACAUGUUAGUUUUAUCAUUUAUCAAUUUACUAAAGCUGGCAUUGCCUUCAACACCCCAUUGAUUAAAGUUGUUAUGCAUAACUAAUUCUUCUAAAUAAGGCAGGCCUGAUGUGAUUUUCCUGGAAUGACUUUAAGCUUAGAACAAUUACUCAAGUCUAAGGACUUAAACCUUGUUAGUCUCCCUAUUUCCUAAGGGAUCUUUGAAUAUCAGAACUGAAAAUUUUAAGUGUAUACAAUUGCUUCAGGUUCCUAACAAUUAUGAUGUCAUUCAACUUACAUUCAUUGAAAUGUAACCUUUGAAGGUUUCUUAAAGAAGUAAAUGAUGAAGGUAGGGAAGCAAAAUCCAUACCAGUGAAAUCUAAUAUCAAGAGUUCAUUCAUCUGCUCAAAGAAAUUGUCUGGGACUUCUAACGAUGGAUUUUUGUUUAACAAAACCAGCAACUUUAGCCUAAGGCAUUCAAGAUUGUCUGAUAGCUUGUUAAUGCUAGUGUAUGGCAACAAAAUGGCAGUGCAAUUAUUGAGUUUUCUUUUCUUUAUCAGCUCUUCAAUAUGGAUUUCAUCCUCUAUAACAAACAUCUACUUUUCUUCAGAUGCAAUCCAAAUGGCAACAUCACGAACAAUGUCAUGCAUUUUCACCAUUUCAUUGUUGUCACUGCUGAGUAAUAAACCUGCAUCUUUGAGCUUAUUCAAACAUUAUUUGGCUUCUUCCAUUGUGCUAACAUUACUUGCUAUUCUUAAACCCAAGUUGUAUCUUAGCAAAUCAAAUACAUGAAUGUCAAAACCCUGGGGCAGCAAGGCACAGAGUUGGAAAAAUGACUACAAUUGAGGUUUCUUUAACAUGCUGUAACUUUUCUCUAAAGUGAAGUAAACACUUUUGAACGCUUCUUCAUUUUUUGUAAUUGGCUUUGGUUCUUUUUUCCAAAGCCUCCACCAAGUUAAAGUUUUGUGUUCUCAAUGCAAUUGCAAUUGCUAAAAUAGCAACUGGAAAACCUGCACAGUUUUUCACAACUUUAGUCAGUAGUUGUCAGUAACCAAGCUUGUUUGCUGCAUUGCCCAUAACUUUCUGAAUCCACUCUAUUGCUUCUUCAUUAGUUAACAUUUGGACAUUGAACAUUUCUUCAGUUUUCAUGUCAAUGAGUAACUGUGGAUUUGUGGAAGUUAGUAAUAUUUUGAAUCUAACAGCAGAGGAUUUUUGAAAACCAUUUUCACUAAUAUUUUGUAGUAAUGGUCGUCCUAGAUCUUCUUCAUUUGCAAUAUUCUAGUCACCUUCAAUAGCAAUCCCAACUUGUUCCAGUUCUAGUCUUUGACCAUCCUAAAUGUCAUCUAAAAUUAAAAGAACUCUCUUAUCUUGUUUCUUUAACCAUUUCUCUAGUCCUAUUUCUCUUGCAAACACAAUAUCCUUAUCAAGUUUCAGACCUAGUGCAUCUGUAAUUUCUCCCUAAAUUCUUUUUACGUUUGGAUUCCAUAAAACAGUUACCAUCAAAACCUCAUCAAGCAUGGUUUCUUCAUUGGCUCUCCUAGCAGCUUCUUUCACUGGCAUGGUCUUGCCUACACCGGGCAUCCCAUUUACUCCAAUGAUCUUCAAAUCAGGAUCCUUUAAAGCUUCCACAAUAUCUUCCCUGAUAGUCGAGUAGUUGAUAAGGUGAUUACCACACUUCUUGAGAGAUAUGAAUCAAGGAUAUCCUCAUUGGAAGAUUCAAAGGAUCUAUCAACCAUCUCACUCUUUGAACUAAUCAAUGCUAUGUAUGCUUAAGAAAAAAGAAGGGCAAAUAAAGAAUAAAGGUACGUUGAUGAAGUCUUUCAAGCCAAAAAUAGAAAAGGUUCGAGCUCCUUAAAAAAUGAAGAAAAGAAGGACUGGACAAAGAAGAAAGAGGAUAAUUGGAGAAAUGGUGGCAAGGAGAAAAAUCCAUUAUGUUCUCAAUACAAAAAGACCAAUCACCUAAAGAGGUAUUGUUGGUUCAGGCCAGUUAAUCAAUGUAGAAGCUGCAAACAAUUUGGUCAUAUGGAGAGAGUGUGCAAGAAUAAUAAGCACGCACAACAACAAAAUGCUCAGGCACAGACAAAAGAAUCAAAUCAAUAAGAACUGGUGUUCACUGCCUCCUGCGAAGCCAAACUCGCUACCCCUUGAGAAGUCCUAUUUGCGACACCGUGUGAACCCUCCAACAAAGUAAGAAAAAACUGGUUGGUUGACUGUGGUUGUAUAAACCACAUGACUUCGGAUGAAAGCAUUUUCAAACAGAUUGAUAGAAGUUGCAUUUCAAAAGUUAGAGUUGGAAAUGGUCAGUACAUCGAAGCUGUAGGAAAAGAAGAUAUGCUAAUCAGCACUUCUAUAGGUACUAAAGUAAUUAAAAAUGUGCUUUUAAUUCUUGAGAUAGAUCAUAAUCUCCUUAGCAUUGGUCAAUUGAUUGAGAAGAAAUAUAUUGUAACACCCCUAACCCGUACCCGUCGUCAGAUUAGGGUUAUGAGGCAUUACCUAACACAACACAGUCUAACACAGUCAUUUAUCACAAUUCAUAUCUACUAAUCAUAUCUCAUAUACAAACCAUACUUCUUUUCUGUGCAAACCAAUUUCACAAACCAAUUCACACACUGAAAUUUAACUGAGUCAUAAUCAUUCUACUACUCACAUUUCGAACCAAUUAACAUACAUCGAUUCAUAUUACAUUAUAGCAAAACACAUCUACCAACUAAAUCAUACAUAUAUACUUUGAAACAUACUUCCCAAAAGAGCUUAUAACAUGACCAAAUAUACAUAAUAAUUAGUAUAUCUAACAAGCCAUUUCGCAUGCCAACUUAUAUACAAUUCAAAAUUAGCCAUAGUCUAUACAUGCCAUAUGUCACAAUAUCAAGCUUUCAAAAUACCGAAAUGGCGAUUGAUAGUGUGAAGAUAAUCCUUGAUGAUCCCCGAGCUCGAGCUAGCUUUAUGUAUCUAUAAAGCAAUGGAAGGAUGCACAAAGUAAGCUUUGGAAGCUUAGUAAGCCAUAAGCAAAUAAAUCAUCUCAAUGAUAUUUAGAAUUCAAUUCAACUAGGUCUAAUUCAAAUGAAUCUCAAACACAUAUACAUUUAACUAACCCAUAUAAAUUCAUAUUAUCACAUUAAGUACUAAACUUACCUUAAUAUUUCAUGAACAUAUAACUUCACACAUACCUGAACCAUUUAGCACAUAUUUACAUUCGGAAUUGUUAAGAACACACGAAAUUCAUAUAAAGCUCAUACAAUGCCAUAUCCCGGAUAUGGUUUUACAUGUUAACGCAUAUCGAUGCCACUAUCCCAGAUAGGGUCUUAUAUGAAUCAUAUACGAUGCUAAUGUCCCAAACAUGGUCUUACACGUUUUCUCACUUUGAUGCCAAUGUCCCAGACAUGGUCUUACACGAAAUCACACCUCAGAAGUCCUAAUAUCAUGACAUCAAUAUCCAAUACAUUUCCUAAGGUUCAUUCAGAGCUUUCGAAUUCGUAAUUAAAUCAAUUUAUGCACGAAAUCAAUCAUCCAAUGCUCAAAUAAAUUCAUCAAUAUAUAUGUAUACAUAUACAAAUCAAUUCGGUAAUGUAUAUCCAAAUACGAAUCAAUUCGGCAAUGUAUAUCCAUAUACAAAUCAAUUCAGCAAUGUAUAUCUAUAUACAAAUCAAUUAGGUAAUGUAUAUCUAAUUACAAAUCAAUUCAGCAAUGUAUAUCUAUAUACAAAUAAAUUCGGCAAUGUAUAUCCAAAUACGAAUCAAUUCAACAAUGUAUAUCCAAAUACGAAUCAAUUCGGUAAUGUAUAUUCAAAUACAAAUCAAUUCGGCAAUGUAUAUCUAUAUACAAAUCAAUUUGACAAUGUAUAUCCAAAUAUGAAUCAAUUCGGCAAUGUAUAAAACAUAUACAUUUGAAUUAAAAAAAUAUUUAUUUACUUAUGAACUUACCUCGUACGGAAAUAAACGGAUUGGAUCAACUACUUGUCAACUUUCGAUUUCCCCCGAUCUAAAUCUGAUUUCUUUCUUUUUUGAUCUAAUUGAUUUCAAAUUUAACUCAUUUAAUCACAUAUUCAUUCAAUUUCAUCCAAAAUACCUAUUUGGACAUUUUUGCACUUUAGCCCCUAAAGUUUCACAUUUAUUCAAUUUAGUCCCAAUUUAACAAAUACACAAAAUUUGCACAAUUCAAUAUAACCCAAGCUUAGUAGAAUUACUAUAGUGCCCCUAGCAGCCCAAAAAUUUUAUUUAUUUCACAUUUCAACCACCCAAUUUACAUAUUUCACAAUUUAAUCCUUAUUUAACAUUUUUGUCAAAAAUCACUUUACAAAACAUAUUAAUCUAUCAAAAAUUAUUCAUUUUCCAUCAUCAAGAUUCAAAAACAUCAAGUUAUAAUUAAUGGAAACUCACAAAUUCGUCAACCAAUUCAAAAAUUAGGGCAUGGACUAGCUAGAACAUGAAGCAACGAUCUCCAAACGUAAAAACUAUCAAAAAUGGGACAAAAGCGCAUACCUAAUUGAGAUUACAAGCUUGUUCGAAUGUUUUGCACAAAAAUGGAUUCUUUCCCUUCUAAAAAUCGGUGGAAGAUGGUAAUGGAAGAUGAUGAUAAUUUUGUUUUGUUUAUUUUUAACAUUAAUUACUAUUUUACUUAAUUAACCUUUAUAAACUUUAAUAAUUACACAAAAUGCCACUCUGCUAUCAUCCACUAACUCAAAAAUGGCCUAUUUAACACUUAAGGACCUUUUCUUUAAUAUUCUAUAGCUAUUAGACACCUUUAGCUUAUAGAAUAUAACUUUUACGCUUUACGCGAUUUAGUCCUUUUUACCGAAUUAAGCAUUCAAAUAGUAAAAUUUCUUUAUGAAACUUUCACACAUAUAUAAUCACAUGUUGUAAAUACCAAAAAUAAUAUUAAAAUAAUUUUCUAACCUCAGAUUUGUGGUUCUGAAAUCACUGUUCCAAUUUAACUAAAAUUGGGCGAUUACAUAUAUUAUUGUUUUCAAAGAUAAAUAUUGCAUUAUAUUUGAUUCAUUAGGACAGGAAGUUUUGAUUGUCUCAAUGAACAAUAGAAGAUUUCUACUAGAUUGGAAUUUUAUGGCCUUGAGAGCCUAUACCAGUUCAAUAGAUAAAUCAUAUAGUUGGCACAAAAGACAGGGACAUGUGAACAAGAAGUUCUUUAGUCAAGUGUGCAAACCAAAGACAAUUGUGAAGAUAACUAAUGUUGAAGAUAAAGAUUUAGAUAAAGGCUUUGAUAACUUUCCUGUUAAAGAUACCAGGUUUGUUGUUGAAACUUAUCACAGAUGUGACUUAGCAGUAUGGGAGUCUACAAUUUUGAAGAAGUUGCACAAGAAAAAAAAAUUGGUGCUUGUUGCAAAAUGGUCAAGAAAGAGUGUUCAAAGUUGGUCAAUCAUGCAGUAGAAAGCAGCAGGAUAAACUGUGAGCCUACGAGCUCACCAAAAUGCAAGUUGCGAAGCCAGCAAAAAUGUGUGUUGAUAGAUGUCGAACUAUGAAAGUGCAAGCUACAAGCUAAAUGAAAUAUGUGCUACAAAAGUGCGAGGUCAUAAAAAUGCGAGCUCAUCGAAGCACAAGCUUGAGAGCAGGCUAAGAUGCAAACUUGCUGAUACUCUAACAAAAUCCCUUGGGAAGAUGAAGUUUGAAAAACUAGGUUAUGAUAUUGGGGUUCGCAACAUGGAGGCCAAGGAGGAGUGUUGCGAGGUUGCCAUCCAUGCAUUGGCAAACCUAGCUCCUACAUGAUUGCGAGCUCACCAUAUCUGCGAGCUCACCAAAAGAUGCAAGCCCACCAAGACUGCGAGCUUACCUACGAACUAUGAAUUGCGAGCUCACCAAGAACUACAAGCUCACAAAAAUGUGCGAGCUUGCCAAGAUCACGAGUUCACCAAGCAUGCGAGCUCACCUGCGAGCUCUUCACUCUGCAAGUUGUCAACUUGCACUAAAACUGUGAUAAAUUUUGAUUAAACAUUUUGACAGGCCAUUAGACAGAAACCAGCAAAUGAAAAAGAAAGUUAUAUGAAUCUAGUCACUGAAUUAAGCCAAGUUGUAAUAUUUUAUUAUUAAUUUUAGCUUAUUUAAGCAUAGUUUUUCAUGUAAACUAAGCAUCAAUUUUUUAAUGAAACAGAUCACCAAAAACUAACUUCUCCAUCUUUCAUCUUUUGCUUCUGUUUCAGCCUCUCAUUCUUCAAAAAUCCAACACAACUCUUCUUUGCUUGCGCUUCAAGGUUAUUCAUUGUCUCUGACUCUUCCUUGAUUUUCUCUUUUGCGUGAUUCACCCAAAUCUGGCCAUCUUGGUCAAACUCUUGUGCCUUUUCCUUGGCAACAUCAAUGUAAUGCUGCACUCUGUCUCUUUGAUAUCUCAGUUCCUUAAUUUGUUCCUUCAGAUUCUGAACUUUACCAUCAGGAUUCAACAUGUAACGUUUAAACCCAGAAACAAACUCCAUUUUAGGGGGGGUUCAAUUUAUAGUAAUUGGUAAAGCAGACAAAGCAAACCGAAAACAAAAUAGCAGUGAAUGAAUGAUCAAACUAUGGUGGAGCAAAUGGAUGAAUGAUCAACUAUGGAGCAAAUGGAGUUUCAAUCUUUGCAAUGAAGGGAAAAAAGAAGCAAUGAAUGGCAAAGACAACAAGGCAAAGGAAGCAUCAAAAGGUAAAAUAAAGAACAUGAAGAUAAAACUAAGAAUGUAGAAUCAAUGCUUUGAUCAUUUGCAGAAGUUAAGGUUUUGAUCAUUAGAAGGUCAAACUCUUAAUUCUUAUGACUGGUUGUUUAGAGUCUUGCCGGUCUCUAACCGAGUUAGCCUAAUUGAGUAAAAAAAUUUGGAAAUAAUAGAGUUAGUCGAAUUGAGUAAUAAAUUUUUGAAUUUUGUUGGUUUUGAUAAUUUUCUUUAUAUAAUUUUUUAGAUUUUUUGAAAAUAUUUAUAAUUUUUUAAAAAAUAUUAAUUUUGAAAUUUUAAAAUUUAUUUUAAUUUUUGCUGAGAGAGUGACUAAUUUAUACAUUUUCAAUACUGACAGGGACCAAAAGAGUAUUUAUUCUAAUUUGUUAUUCGAAUUAUUUGAAUUGUAAAAUUUUAAUUUGACUUGAACUCAAAACUCGAACUAUUUAUUUGAGUUAACUUGAAAUUUUUGAAUAACUUGAUUCGAUGAAAAUCUAAAUUUUUUUUUAUUUUUUUGAAUCGAAUCUUGACAAAGUAUAAUGAUAUCUUUGCUCUGACAACUUUUCAUUUUUCAAUACAUGUUGCAAUUAGUGUCUUAUUUGAUAAAUUUAUUUGAAAGUGGAGCUUCCAUAUUUAAGUUCUAAUUGUUGAUUAAAUUAUUUAUACAUUUCUUAACAAAUUUAUGUAUGUUUCUUCUUUUCAUAUUUUUGAAAAAGAAAAAGAAAGAAUUCUUCAAAGAAAAGAAAAAAAAGUUAAAAUGAAGCAAAACGGUUUUGGAAGGCAAAGAAUAAAGUGCAGAGAAGCUUUAAAUGUUUAAUGUUAUUUAAACUUUUUUUUCCAAUUUUCCAUAAGAAUUUUCUGUUUUUUUAAGUUAAAAUUUUAAAGAUUGGAAAAUCAUAAAGGAAGGAAUUUCUGGGUUCUAAAUAUUCUUAAAGAGUUGAAAUUACCGCAAUAAAAGUAGUUAGGAAAAUCAUGAAACUUUGAUUUUCAUCGAUUGUUAAAAGAUACUUGUAAUUCAGUUCAACACUAACAACUAAAGUUACAAAUUAAAAUGCAAUCGCUCAUGUACAGCACACUGAUAGGCUAGAUUAUGGGAUGCAUUUCCGGACUUAGGUAUGAAAAUAUGACUUGCAAAGACGAAAAAGAAUAUAAAAGAAAUGGAACAUAUCAUUGUUAGAAAUAUGCUCUUAUCUGACAUUCAAACUCAAAGUUGGAGUAACAUAGCUAGGAAGUGAAAUACCAACUUUAGAUCAAUGAAUAUGGCUGCAACUGAGCAGCAGCAACAUACUCUAGUAGACAGCAUUUGAACUCGCAAUGAAAGGGGCAUCUUCCAUAACUCUUUAUAAAGCGACUGUGCCAAAAUGGUAGGUGAAAUAAUCAAUUUCUGCCAUUAAACUACAUUUUAUGCUUAAGCUCAAUACUUAAAGUAUGAUAUUUUUAACACUCAUGGAACACAAAAUCAUUUCUGUGAUUCUUUGAAACUCAUACUUUUCUAAAGCAAAUAUCUCCACUCUUCCUUCAAUAUUGGCCUUUCUGUAGUAUGUAUCCUUGAGCUGAAACUCUUCCAUAUGAAUAGCCUAUAAAGUAGAAGGAUGUAAUAAGUUCAGGAAAUUACAGAUUUAAGGAUCUUUCCAUAGCAAUGGAUUGAGUGAUUGUCGCUGCAUGUAAAUUGCUGGCAUGUUUAUUAUUUGCAUCCACUGUAAUUUCAUCAUUUAUCCCCUUACAUGAAAAUGUAAAAAGAAUUCCAAAGUUCUGUUUUUUCUCCUUCAAUCAAACACAUAUGUAAGAUAUAGACUCACAAAGUUAGUUGACUGGUUGUGCCAUAUCUUUCUCCAGUUUCCCACACCCGUGAUGCUCUGUUCCUCUAAGCAAGGUUAGUUUGCUAGAGAAAAACAAGUAGUACAACAAGAAUAGGGAAUCAAAUAUUUAACAAAAAUGAACAAUAAAAAAGACAUGAAAGAAAGCAAUGAUACAAGAAAACAAAAAUGGGACAUUACCUUUCAAUGGAAAGAGUUGGAAAGCGAAUCUCUGAGUUGUUUCUUUCUAUCCUAAGAAAAUAAUGCCAGUGCCACUAGUGAUCAUAAGAUUGGCCUUUGUCCUCUUAAAUCAUUUUCUCCACCCUUCACAAUGUUCAUUCUCAAUUAAGUACGACUCACUAAUUCAAUUGUGACAAAAGUGGUAUUUGAGGGAAAAACUUAUCAGUUUACACGUAAGAAUAUCAUACAUAUUUACUAGUUACAAGUGUUUAACUAGGGAAAGAAGUAAACUCUAACACUAUAUAUCUAAUUAUAUUCACAACAUCAAUAAAAGCAAUUAAGCUUUUUUUUACUCAAAAGACUUUUGGAAUCUCAUCUCAAAACUGUUAACAUGCGGCUUCCGAUGUCAAAGUGGAGAAUGCUGAGGUAUAAUUCUCUGAGCAGAGCCUUGAAAGACUACCAAGUUCCAAAGACUUGAGUUGGGAGAAAACGAUGCCAUCCAUGACUUCAUCAAUGUAGAAAAGCUAUGAUUUCUUCUAACUUUUGGCAAUCAGUACUAACACUCAUUCUUGUGAGUUACACCAUGCUUUUAGCUAUUGUGAAAGCUACUAAAUUUCUGAAUCCAUGGCAUUUUGAUGCCUCUACAGUUGUCAAAUGUUUGAAUGACAAAAAAGAUGGCACUAAAUUCUUUAAUUUUCCGCAUCCCAACACUUGUAGAAAACUUCUGCAAGUGAUAGUUUGCUCUUCUAGAUAUGUGUCAACUCAGGAAGAUAAUACAACCUUAACUCCUUCAAGCAAGCAAGUGUUCCUGCACGUUCGUUUUCAUCUCUUACUCCUUCACAUGGAAAUAAUCCAUUGAAGGUAGCCCUUUGCCAAAAGAAAGGUAUUCAAGAUUUGGUAAUGACUAAAUGAAACAAUCUGAGAUAGUAAUUCAUGUUUCGGGACAAUCAAACUUUCUUAGUUUGGGCCAAUACUGUUUCGGGUCUGCUCCAUGUCCAUGCCAUACCUUCAUAUUGCCAUUCCGAACCAAAACCAAUUCUUCUAAAUUGGGGAAUGUUUCCUGAAAUUAAGAACCAUAUAUAUAUUAAAUAAAAGCAAAUCUUCUAAAGUGAUUGAUAAAAUAUGCAAAUCUGUUUAGAUUGACCUUUUAUUUAGUUUCUUUUAUGAGAUCUUACCUUAGUGACCCAAAAUAGGGGUUGUUGAACAGAGAUAAUGGAGUGGUUCUCUCCUUGUGUUUCUCUAAAGUUGAUAUACUCCCCAGCGAAUGUCUCCACCUUGCUGCAUUCACACACCUCCAAUUGUUUUAACAAUGGCCAAUCUGUAGUAUGCACCUUGGAGUACAAGCCCUUCAAUUUGGGUAGCUUAUGAAGUAUCAGCCGUCUUAUUUUAGGAAACAGAAACUUGGUAGUUGAUUUGAGCUCAAUUGAUUCAUUUGAGUUGAGUCCACGAUCGUCAGCGAGUCCAAUUAUUUCUUCUACCGACUCACAUUCCGAUAUUUCCAGACCUUCUAGUUUUUCAAGUCUUUCCACCAUAUCAAAUGGUAAAACAUUCGAAAGUUUGUCACAGUGUUCCACCACAAGGAAGGUUAAUUCAUGAAAUGAACCCAUAGUGAGUUUAUCAUGCCAUAUCUUUCUACACUUUCCCAUGCCUACAAUUCUCAAAUCAUUCAAGCUAGGAAACGCAACCUGUGGGAAUUAUUUAAGUUGUUAAUGAGGAAAACAAGUUAGAAUUCUACAUAGAUAUGAAAAGUAAUAUUACUACAAAAAAACAAAAAAAGAAUACCACCUUUUGGUUGAAGAGAGUAUUGGUCUCUGAGUUUUCUUGAUGGCAGAAUGUCCUUAGUUUUGGAAGCCUAAUGAACUCCAGUAUUUGUAGCUUAGUGAACAAGUAAAUCUGAGGUAUCCCUUCUCCUGCUGCUAAUCCAUCUGUAAAUAUUAUUUCUUCCAUGUUUUUGCAAUCAAGAAGGCUAAGUUGAUGGAGCCGCUCAAAAUUUUUGACUAAAAAGGAUGGGAAUAGAUAUUCCAAAUUGUGGCAACGCUUCACA
rnacentral:lncRNA from 1 species